rnacentral:lncRNA from 1 species
GAACGGUCGCCGCGUCGCCUCAGCACGGACCUCCAGGGAGCUCCUCAGCAAGAUCCUGCCAGGGCGCCCCUCAGCGCGAUUCUGCCGGGGUGCCUCUCAGCGUGGUCCUCCCCGGGGCUCCUCAGCACGAUUCUCCCGGUGCGCCCCUCAGCGCGGUCCUCCUCGGUGCGUCAGUCAUCGUGGUUCUCCCCGGCGCGCCCCUCGGCGCGGUUCUCCUCGGGGCUCCUCAGCGCGGCGCUCUUCUGGGGGCUCCUCGGCGCAGUUCUCCCCGGGGACUCCUCGGCGCCGUUCUCCUCGGGGCACCCGGGGCUUUUCGGCGCGGUUCUCCCCGGGGGUUCUUCGGCGCGGUUGUCCCCGGGGGUUCUUCGGCGCGGUUCUCUCCGGGGGCCUCUCGCCGCGGUUCUGUUCUCCCCGGGGGCUCCUCAGCAUGGUUCUCCUCCGCGCGGUCCUCCCUGGGCCUCCUCAGCGCGGCACUCUCCUGGGGGCUCCUCAGCGCGGCACUCUCCCCGGGGGCUCCUCAGCGCGGCACUCUCCCGGCGGCUCCUCAGUGCGGUUCUCCCAGACUCUCCUCAGCGCGGCCCUCCCCAUCUCUCUGGGAGGGUUUGAACACGGUCAGCACGGACCUGGGCGGACGGCGCGGGACGGGUGAUCACUGGCGUUGCUGAGGUGAGCUGUGUGCCCCGCGGCCGUCCCAGAUCACAGGCGUCAGCAGUGCAGCCUGGCCUGGGCAGUGCGCUCCCAUCUGCACCUUAUGGACAGCGUGGCCAGGGUCGAGGUCCGAGUUCCUGGCCGCGUCCCAAGGAUCGGAUUCCGGGUCUAUAGUUCUCAUGGUGGUUCAGAGUGGGCUGAAUUGGGAUUGGAGUCUGGAAUCCGCAUCGUGGUUCUGAGUCCGCGCUAUUGGGAUGGAAGUUGGGAAUCCAUGUUGUGGUUUUGAGUCAAAGCCCGAAUUGGGACCGGAGUCGGAAAUCCACUUAGUGGUUCUGAGUCAGGGCCCGAAUUAGGAUCGGAGGUGGGAAUCCCCGUUGUGGUUCUGAGUUAGGUAUCCUAGUUGGGAUCAGAAUUCGGGUCUAGGGUCCACAUCCUGGCUGGGAGUUUGCCUGAGUUGGGAUCUGAGUAGUUGGGGUCCCAGUCAGUCCGGGUCUGGAGUCCGCAUGGUGGUUUUAGGUAGGGCCUCAUUAGGGACAGAGGAUCGGGAGUCUGAGUUGGGGACCUGAAUCCCGGUCUGGAGUCUGCAUCAUGGCUCUGAGUUGAGAUCCAAGGGAGGUCCGAGUUGGCGACUGGAGUCAGGGUCUGGAGUCUGUCUUUGGGUAGAGGUUCUGAAUGGGGGGCUCUGAGUUAAGAGAUUGGGAUUGGGGUUAGAGGUCUCAGUGGGGUAUGGGAGUCAGGAAUUGAAGUCGAAGUUCUGCCUCUAGGUGGGGAUUCUGAGUCAGGAAUUAGGGGGCGAAGUAAAGGUUGCAGUCUGAGUUGGGGGUGGUGAUCACCUGCCAGGUGAGAGGUAGUGGUAGAAGUCUCUUGGUCAUAUUGGAGAUGAGAGUUGAUCAGAUGCAGGUCUCAGUCUGGGUAGUAGGCUUGAAGGGCCACCACUAUGUUCAGAUCCCAGUACCCCACUGUGGUCCCUGAGCAGGUCAAAUAGCCUUUUAUAUAAAAUUGAGAGUAAGAGUGCCUUCCCACAGCACUGUUCUGGUUAUGAAAGAGAAUAAUUCAUCCAGGUAGAAUAGUUCUGUCUUAGAUUAUCACAAAGUAUAAAAACUUUCCUGAUAAUAUCCACAUUUGAUGUGCAUUUACCAGUUCUUUCUUUACUGUGGUGCCCCUUUUGCUAGACCAAAAGCUCCCAACGAGGAACUCUGUUUUGUUUUCUGCUGCCUGCUCUGUACCCAGCCAAGAGCCUGAUACACAGCCUUACUCAGUCAGUACUUGAAGGAAAGCAGGCAGGCAGGAUUAACCAGAUUUCUAUGGUGUCUCAAAUGAUCCAUUUCUGCACCUGUUUUCCAGAUACUCAGUAGGAGAAAAAUUUAAGGAUUGAGUUGCUUGAUUAUGGGUGUAUUUUAAUGUGUUUCCUAACAUGCUGAGGAGAAAAGUGGGUCUGUUUCAGGAUUUAUGCUCCAGCUAGAGGGAUUUUUUAAAAUUGCGAAUCAGAGCAUGUCCAAAUUCAGAUAGAAAGCACAAGAAAACUAUAAAGAAUUUCCCUUAUGAAUGUAGAUGCAGAAGUUCCUUGUACAAUGCUAGCUAACUGAAUCCAAUAAUAUGUAUUAAACAACAAUUCUUAAACAAGUGGGAUUGCUCUUAGGAAUGCAAAGAUGAUCCAAUAUCAGAAACUUUAUCCAUGUAAUUCACAUUAAGAGGCUACAGGAGAAAAACCAUAUGGUUCCCUCAAUAGAGGCAGAAAAAAAUGAUGUGAUAAAGUUUAACGCCUAUGUGUGAUUUUGGGGUAGUGGAGUACACCACUUAGCAAGCCAGGACUAGAGAGGAACUUCUUCAACUUGAUACAAGUUAUAAACCAAAACUUAACUUUUCAGUAAACUUGAUAGAGAAAUUAAAAGUGUAUCAUUCUCUUUAAGAUAAGGAGUAGGCCAAGGAUGUCAUCCUGGCCAUACCCUAAUACAAGAAAAAGAAAUGGGGAUGUGAGGAUCAGGUAGGAAGUGAUAAAACUUAGUGUAGCUCAUAGGGUUGAUGGUCUCCAUAAAGAUUCUCAAACAUUUUGGUGUUACGACUUGUUGUAUUCUUAAAAGUUAUUGAAACCCCCAAAGGGCUUUUCUUGAUAGAGAUUCUAUCUGUUGAUAGUUACCAUCUUAGAAGUUAAAACUAAGAAAUGUUUAAAGCAGAACUAUACAAGCACAUAUUCCACUGGGGUCAUGGUGUGCUGCCUCUGGAAAACUCUUUAUCUUUGUGAGAAUGAAAGAAAAGGCAAAUAAUGUCGAGUAUUAUUAUGAAAAUGUUUUUGACCUUUCCUGAAAGGGUCUGGGGGGCUCUCUGGAAUCCCCAGACUACACUUUGAAAAUUACUGGGCUACAUGGAAAAAAAAAAUUAAGGAACUUAACAACUAAAGAGAGAUUUCAGAUUUCAGAGAGGUUUUGGAUAUAAGAUCAGUGUACUCAAAACAAAAAACAAAAACAAACCACAUUUCUUUAUGCCAAUAGCAACUGACUAAAAAAAAGCAUAAUAGAGAUUAGGACAGCAAUCAGAAUAGCAGCAAAAUUUAUACCAGUCUAGGAAUUAACAAAGACGACGACUUUUAUGGAAAAAAUUUUAAAACUCUAUUGGAGGAUAUAGAGGGAGAUCUUUCCAUAUGCAGAGACAUUUUAUUUUCUUGAACAGGGCAACUUGGCAUUAGAAUGACGUCAGGAUUUUCCAAAUCUGUUAAGUUCAACAGGACUCCACUCAAACUUCCAGUUGGAGGGCUUGAGUAAUUUAACAAACAUAUUCUAAAAUGUAUGUGGAAGAAAAAUAUUUGUAAAUGCCAACUGAACUUUUGAAAAGGAGAGCAGAGGACUUCUGCUGGCAGAUACCAGGGCACACGCCAACUUCAGCAAUCAGAGCGGUGUGGUGACAGAGGCCCAGAAGAGAGCUCAGAGGUAACUCCAAGUCUAGAGGAAGGGGACAUGUGAUAAAGGUGGCACCACAUAUCAGUGGGGACUGUUCAGAAGAUGAUGUUGGAAAGCCAGCCCUAAAAUGGAGGAAUAGGAAUAUGGAUUCCUAACUGAGCCCCUAGGAAAAGUAGACUCCAAAUGGACUAAAUAUUUGAAAGCAAAAGGUAGUUGCCAUUUGUUUAAUAGGAGAAAAAAUGAAUAAUCUCCAGGGCCAGGGUGGCCGUGGGGUUCUUAAACAGGAUCCAGAAAGCACAAACCUCAAGACUAAAAUGUAUGAACUUGAAUGCAUUAAUGAUUAUGGAUUAAGGAUUUCUGUUAAAUAAAUCCAUCAUGGCAAGGGUCAAGACUGUUUUCAUAAUAAUACUAAGGAAACAAUUUGCGUUUUUCACUUUUACACUCAUGAAUGUAACUUUGCCAUGACUCAUUACAAGAUAUUUGAAACAAUUAAAGCUGAGGAGGGAACAACAGCUAAAAUAUACCAGAAAGCACCACAAAUCAUUAAGAAAAAGGUAGGAAGAUUGCCAGUUUGCAGGAGGGUUAACAAACAGAUGAAAAUUUGCCCAAGCUAAUCAGUUAUCAGAGAAAUGUAAAUGAAAGCAACAGCUAUUCUUCAUAGGAGAAGCAUUAGAAAGUAGGAUAAGGCCAAGUGUUGGCAGAAGGCAAGGAACAAGCCUCCCUGUGUGCUGCAGGUGGGGACGGAGACAGGCACAGACGUUCUGAAGAGCUGGCCAACACUUCUUCCUCAAAUAAAAUAUUUUAUACCUGUGGCCCAGCAGUUUCCCUCCUAAGUAAACAUGCUGGAGCAGUUCUCACCCAGAACAACGAGAGGCUGUGUGUGUGCAUGCUCAGGGCAGCAUGGCCCAUAGGGGUGGGCAGUUGGAGCUGGUCACUGUGGUUAGGAGCAGGGGACUAGAUGUACACUUCACAAGAUAGAGACGCGUGGAAACACAGUGCUGAGUGACACAAAUGCCAAACAGAAAGAGGGCCUCAGUACAUGACUGUGUAUUUAAAUUAAAAUUACACACCACCCAGACACGCAGUACUAGGGAGUGCUCGUGAGUGCACACACACACACACAAUGAUAUAAAUAAAUUACCCUGGAGAAGCUGUUUGUGUAGGGAGGAGAGCAAGGAUAGAGGCUAGAGAUGAAGUGGAAAAGCAUGGAGAGGAAGAGAGCGGUGACUUUAUGCAGACCCUUACAGGGUGACAGUGUUUCAUAGGCUGAGGGCUGUGAUCAACUCUGUGCAGAGUCCCAAAAGCCAAGAACCAACGAAUGAAUGUGCCUCCAUGACUCUCCUGCCAGAUACCCUCUAGUGGCUUCUAUUUCUAGGAAAUAAAAUUCAAAUUCCAUCAGGUUUUUACAAGAUCUGCCCUGCUUACCUCUCUGACCACUGUCCUCCCUCACUGAGCUUUGGCUCUGCCAGCCUUCUUCUUCUUUGUUAAAUCUGCCAAGUAUCCCUCCUGCCCCAAGGCCUUCACCACCUCUGCCUGGCUUGUCUUUUCUGGUGAUCUUCCCUUGACAAUUCCUUCUUCUUAUUUAAAUCUCACAGGAAAUUUUGCUCUGACCUGCCAUAUCUGUCAUCCCCUUCAGUCACUCACUAGCUGACGACUACCUUUCGAGUCUCUGCAAAGCACAGGCUACGCUUUUCUAGUUCCUUAGACAUCUACUUAUUUGUUGGCUGCCUAUCUCUUCCACCGGAAGAGAGGCCCCAAGAGAGCAUAUCUGUCUUCCGUAUAGGGUCCGCACAUGGUGGGUGUGUCACAGAUUUCUGUUGAAUGGUUUCAUUCAUUUAUUGAACGAAGGAAGAGGCCAGGCCAGGAAAGUGUGCCUCCAUUUUCACAACUCAGUGAGAAAGCAAAUAGCAUGUCAAAAUCUGACCCCUUGCAACCAGGGUUUCUUAGCCAGCCACACUGGUAAUGCUUGGGACAGGAUGUAUCUUUGUUGUGAGGGGCUGUCAUUUAUAUUGUAAGAUGUUUAGCACCCUGCCUGGUCUCUACCUAGUUGAUAUUAGUAAUUCUCCCAUAGUCAUGAUAGCCAAAAAUAUCUCCAGACAUUGCCAUAUGUCCCCUGGGGGGCACCGCAGAUGACAACCACUUCCUUAGAACAGCUCUUGGGACUGGGAUGGUGUCUCUGCUGUGGCUCUUUAAAGGCAGCAGGCCCUGGCUUGCAUCCUGCCACAUCUAACACCUAUAGCCUCACCACCUCGGUGAGAAAGACCCUGGCCCAGGCCUGGCCAAUCAGAGUACCCUCUUCCCUGGUCAGCAGUAUAAUUUGUUUGGCAAGCACUUCCAGUCCCACAACCUAUGGGCUGCCACCCAGAGGUUUAGUUGGAACUACGUGUCAGCUGCCGUCCCUCAGCCAUCUAUGGCAUGGGCACCUGUGGCUUGACCAAGUUGGAGGUGGCCUAGAGAGGCCGGGCUGGGCCUGCUCACCUUCUCCAGUUAGUGCAGACUGAUGAAUGAGUGGUUCUCAGCGGAUACCGGAUCCAGGUUUGCAGUACACUCCAGGAGGAGGACGAGUAGGGUUUCCCUCAGAGCAGGCCUGGAUGGGAGGGCAAGGGGUGGCCUCUAAUACUGCCUUUCCUUCCGGUGCCUUUAUCAGCCUGUGCCAUGCUCCUCUGAACUGGCCGGCCCCAGCAUGUCCAGGUUACUGGCAGGAGCCUGUAUAACCCAGGGUUCCAGUCACACCAGCCAGGAAGGCCCAUGAGGCUGGAGCGCACCCAGUCUCUGGCUGCUCUGUCUGCGGAACUAAAAGCCUUUCUCCCAGAGCCUUUCCUACGGCUGGGCGAAGCUCUUGUUUGCAAUUUAAAUGUGGCCUCAUUUAUGGAAGAAUCCCUGCUCCUCCGAAAAGCCUUGGGCUCAACCUCCCUAGCAGCCCGGGCCUCAGCCAGGAGAAGAAAUGGAUCUAAAAGGCCUUUCUCCUGCUAAUUGUAGCAAUUAGCAUUAGAGAAUGGGGACUCGAUGGGGGGCCAGCGCCUGGCAAAACAAGCUUAUUCCCAGCUUAGGCCCAGGCCCAGCUCCACACACUGCUGCUUGGCCAGACUCGGCCCCCACCCAGGGUCUGGUUGGCUUCAGGGCAGGGAGAGAGGGCCCAGGCCUGUGGGUGCUAAGAGCAGUUGUGGAGGGUGUGCAUCUGAGUUGUUAAGCCUGGUAGCUGUACAGGUAGCCCUGGGCUAUGACUUGUGGUCCUCUCAGAAAAGGGUCUGACUGGAACGCAGAGCCAGACCAGAUAUUCAUGAGUGGAUCACAGAGUGUAGACUGAGGGCUAUCUGGUGAUUGACAGAAAGUAGUCUUGGGGCAAAUGACUCUUAAAGAGUAAGGAGCCAUUCCCCUCUAUGGCUAACUGGAUGCCUUUCUCUCCCCCUGCUCCAGAAAGGACUUCCUGUUCCUUCACUGAGCGUGCUUGCUUAUGAGGCUUCUGGAAACCAGGAGAGUUCAGUGGGCCUCAUUAUUGAGCGUAUGGGCAGGACAACCUGCUUGGGACAUAGGCCAUGCUACAGUUGAUUUUAGCCAGCUUGCUGCAUCUACACAGCACAGUGCCUUCCCAGGCAGUGAAUUAUGUCUAACAGGCAGGGGAAUGAUCAUUGCCUCAUGUUAGGGAUGCAGUCAUUCAAGAAAUAUUUGUCAAACACUCAGCAGGUACUAGACCCUGGCCCAGAGGGAGGGAUUUGAUAGGAGCAGGGACCUGCCUACCCUCCCAGGGUUAGUGGACAAAGGGGAGAAAGACUAACUAAUGUUGAAGGACCGUUUGCACCCUGAGGGGAGUGCUGAGGCCUGGGAGCACAGCAGGUGUAUAGCAGGAACCCACUGGAACUAGCCUGGGGUCUGAAAAACUCCCUUGGGGAAAGUGGCAGGGGCAGGCCAAGGGCCCUCUGGUGGUAGGGAGCCUGUGAGCACCUGGGAUGGAAAGAAGCCAAGCAUCUGAACUACCAGAAAGGCAGCUGCAGGAUUAAGCAAGACCCACAGGUCUCUAAACUUUGAAAGGAUGUCUGUCCACUGAGUAGAUAAUUGAUUGGAAUGGGGCAGGGGAUGUGAGAAUGCCAGUUAGGAGAUGCCUGCAGUACAGAGAAAUGGUGGCCUAUCAGGACAGUGGCAAUAGGGAUGGAGGGAAGCAGGGAACCUCUAGAACUAUGGAUGGGUGAAGUAAGCCUGGCUUGGUGAUGGGCUUGAGGUGAUGGGCAGGUGGUGAGGAAGCGGGUGUAUCGGAAAUGACCCCAGAACUUCUGACUUGUGCCACUGAAAGGAUGGGUGACACUGAAAGGACAGGGGCCUUCAGUAGAGUGGGCUAUAAAAUGAUGGAGGCUGUGGAGAGGAGGUGGGGGCAGGUGACUGGAAUGUGGGUCUGGCUGGGUUGGAGAGACAUUUGGGGGGUCAGGGCCUCACAGGUGGUCUGGAAGCCCUUGGUGCUGAGGGAACAGCUUAGGGAAAUGGUUUGCAUAGAGAAAGGCACUGGCAUUUAGUGGCCAUGCCAGAAGGGAAAACCUGCCAAGGAGACUGAGGAUAGAGCCAGAAAGAUGGCAAGAAAGCCAGGAGAACUGGAGGGAUGGAAAAGAGGACCUAGGGGUCAUGGUCCUGGCAGAGGUCACAUUGGAUCCAGUGCUUGUGAUUCUCUGAUUGCUGGCAGUGGAUGGCCACUGGCCUGCAAAUGGCCCUAGUGGAAUGUCCCCUGCCUGUGUGGCUCCCUGUGGGCUGCCUCUCCCCUGGACAGAUGGGGAGAGACCCCUUCCCCACCUGGUUCUCUGUUUCACCCUUGGAACUGUGGCGGUAAAGAGGACCUCCCCACAGUACGUGCAGGGAACAAGCUAGGUUGACUCCCUCAGGGAGGCCUCGUCCUUGCUGAGGUAUUUCAUAACCUCAGGAUAGAGAAAUCCCCCCAACUUUAAUGCAAAGCCAAGCAAGCUGAAAAAUGGCCUUGAAUAGGCUGAGAUGAAAAAACAAAGAGGCUGUCAACAUCAGAGACUCAGUGGGGGCAGGGAGCUUCAGUGGACUCCCCACAGACAGCAGUUCCUGGGCUUCUAUGCCCAGACCCAGAGGCCUGAGCCCAAGAUGUCAGGAUGGGUGGUCACUGUAAGUGCAGUGGAUUGUAGCUCAGGGGUGAGACAUCGCCUUUUUCUUGUCAGCUCUCCUUCCUGAUUAGUGGCUCAAACAGCCUUCCGAGACUCAAGGGGUUAACUGCAGAUCCUCUAACUCCUCCACUUGCUAAUUUUUAAACACAGCUGAGCUCUGAGCACCCCUCCCAAGGCUGUGAGAGGCCAGAGGCCAGCACAGACUCUGCACCAGGUCUGCACAGCCUCCACCCCUACUGUUGUCAGGAAUCUGCAGGCAUCUAGAACAAAGGUGCCUCCAUUAUUUCCCUCACCCAGCAUAUCCUGAUACCUGAGCCAAGAGUUCACCCAGAGCUUUUGCCCACUUCAUUGAUGGUCUGGUGGGCUUUUGUUGACACAUACCCGUGACUCCCAAAUGAACCUUUCAGGUUGGCUUAAAGCCGCUGGGACCUACACAUGACAAAACCCAGACGGAAACAGUGGCUUACACUCCUGUGUCCCUAAAGGUACCUGUUCCUAACAGUGGGAGUGCCAGAGCCUGGAAGCUGGAAGCCAAGGAGACAGGGACCUCCCUCCUGCUGACCCCCUGCCAGGCCACAUCCACCUAAGGGAUUUGGGAUCAUACUCCAUCUUCAACCACUGGGAUCAAAUGGAAAGCCCUCAGGAAUUCUGAGAGACAGCCCCUAUACCUAUGUGCACUGACACACAUACACUGACAAAUACGCAUUCUGACACAUAUAUGAACAUGCACAUAUGUGUGCCCCACUCCCUGCCAGGAGGUGGGUUCUGUCCCAUCUUUGACAUGUUACUUCUUGUCCUUCCCUAGGCCCAGUGGCACUUUCUUUGUGAUAGGUGCUGAGACCCCCCCGACUGGGCCCAGUGGCUGUUCCCAGGACCCAGUCUCUGCUCUUAUCUUAACCCAGCUCUAGCUCCCAGGACCCCAGCCUUUCGCAGGGAGAGAGAUAGCUCUUUUGGUCUGGCACAUGUUCCAUGCCAAGUAGUGGAAACAGCAGCUGCAGGGCAGCCUCAGACUUGACAUCAUUUAAUCCUUGUGACAAUCCUACAGGGAGGAAGACACUACACAUAUGUGCAGAUGCAGCAAGGAGCAGCUCAGCCACAUGGAAUGACUUGCUUGAGGUCACCAGGCACUUGACACAGCAGAGUUUAGCCCAGUCUCUGGAGAGACCAGCCUUCCACAUCCUGUCAUGCUGGGGAGGGCUGCCCGCUUUUUGUCCCUGCUCCCCCAGUUCUAACCCCGGAAGAGCGAUUGUCCCUGCUGUGCCUUCAGCCCAGACAGAAGCAGGCUAGGAGAGGGGAGGAGAGGCAGGGCUGGCCCUCGGAAGGCUCACCUUCCUCAACAGUUCUCUGCUUGGGCAAAGGUCUUCCAAGCAGCCAGGCUCUGAGGCUAGUCACUGUCAUCGUUGGGUGAGGCAGCCUGGGAGUACCAGAAGUUGGAGCAGGUGGGAACCUUCCCCAGGGAUGGGGCUGGAUAGGCAGGGGUGGGUGCUAAGUGGCAGGCCACAACCAGGCACCUGGGAGGGCCAAGCACCACACUGAGAACGCAGUGCUUCCCCUCCCCUCCUAGGCUGCUCAGGAACCCAUCAGUCUCCUGUAAACAAAUGAGACUAAGUCUCUGGCACUCUAGGCCCAGGUGCAAAGGACAGCUGCCCCUGCAGCUACUCACUCUGCCCUGGCCCUCUCAGGAGGCUUGUGACCUCUGCACCUGCUGGCUUGUUUUGUUCCUAAAAUACCCGGAUCCUUGAGAAUCUAGAAGACACCACUGCUAACAGAUUUCCACAUCAUUCAUUCUGUUCUUCCUGUGCAAGCUUCAUGCUGGGACAGGGACCAUAAAACAAGGUGACCCAAAACCUUCAGCAGAAUGCAGGUAGGCAGAGCAGAGGUCUCUGGGAGUGUCAUUCCAAGGCAGUGUCUUCCUCCUCCCCUAUGCUCCCCAUUUCCCAAGAGUGGGCUUCUUCCACCCCACUCAAGCACCUCUUCCCAAGGCUGACCUAAAGGCCUCAAGCUCUGCGGAUAGGGGCAGUCCUGAGGUGGCAUUGAGUCUUAGGGUUGGAGUGGGAGAUAUCUGUGCAAAGGCUGAUAGGAACGUCCUCCAAGGGCUGACUUCAAAGCUUGGCCUAAACCACUGCAUCAAAGUCAGCAAGCUGAGCUGUUUGCACAGAAAAGGAGGAGGAGCAGGCCCUUGAGCCACCCUGCAGCCCAGGGCUCCAGGAUUCCAACCCAGGGACCUGCAGGCUCCCCUGCUCUCCAGAUCAGACCCCUACUCUCAGAGCCCUAGGCCCAGUGGGUGACAGCCUGUGAGACAGGCCUGUGUGGGGUGGCCCUAGCCCCACCUCAGCUUCCAACCUGACCUUGCUGCAUGACCUCUGGCCCAGCCCUCUCCACCUGGAGUGCCAUCUCUCUUUGUGGGAUGGGCCAGGUGGGCUGUGUGUGGGGGAGGGCAAGUAUAUAGGUGUGGUAUAGGUGGAAACUGCCACAGUAACCAGCAGCAGCUCAGAGCCGGGCCACCCAAUUUGUAUGCCAGCCCCAGCUGGGCCUAGGCACGUGGUGUGUGGAAAUGAACGAAGCAGGCAGCCCUAUGUUUAGGAGGCAGGUCCAGAGCUCACCCAGGCACAGCACAAGAUGAGUGCCUGGCCUCAGUGAGCGAGCACUGGCUGCUAUGAGGCUGUGGUGUGGAACCUUGACACUAGGGCCACUGGCCUGGCUGUGUGACCUCUACCUCAUCACCCAGAGCAGGGCAACCAGAGGCAGAGCCUCAGUGUGGUGUUCUCCUGUGAAAUAGUGAUGGCACAGGCAGGGGCUGGGGCCCAGUGCCUACACAGAGGAUCAGCAAAGGAUGGCAGUUAUUGAAACCUCUACGGGGAAGUUCCCCAGACACGAGAGGAAGACCCCCAUGGAAGCUGUGUGUGUGACGUGCUUAGAUUUUCCAGAGUCUUCAUUUUCCUUGUCUAAACAGAGGUCAUGGCGCCUCCCUCUCAGAUCAAACAGCCCUGUAUGAGUGGCUACAACCUUUGGUGGGCUCAGUGCAGCCCCUCCUGCCCCCUUGCUUGGGAGCUGUCUGCAGAGGCCUAGGGAGCUGCGUGGGGUCUCUCCACCUCAGCCUGUAUCCCCACCCCCACCAGGUCCCCUGCCUGACUCCAGCAUACCCAGGCCCUAGAAGCACCAACUCCAUGGCUGCAGCUGAGUGGAGUGUGUGCCUGCCCAAGCCUAGAGGGGUGCUGACCCCUCCCUCGCACGAGGAGACAUCAAAGGGAAGCAGGAAGCAGCGGCCUGGCUGACCCACAGCGGGUGGGAGAAGUGCAGCCUCACAACUGCUGGGGAUUUUCCAUCCCACCAGGAUUUCCGCGGGACACCCCAAGUCCAGCCUUUGAGGCUCCUCAGGAACCAGAGUUUGGCCUGGAGCCAGUUGGGGCAGAGGAGGGGGGCCAGGCUGGGUGGCUUAGGGGUGUGGUUAGGCCUGCUAAGGGGCUCCUCUUCUCAGUCUCCCCAUGAUUUGCUGGUUACUGGCUUGAAAUCUGGGCCCAGACCCAUUCCAACACUGAACCCUGAGCUCCCUGAGACCUGGCUGGCAAGGACAGGUCCCAAUUUUUACAGGGGCCUGAGAGGAAUGGAGAAGGGAUCUCUGCCCCUUCCUUUCUCAGUCACACCUCCUUGACAGGGGGUCAUCAGAGUGGGCUGUGGUAGGUGCACCAGGGAAGGGACCAUACAGAGGAGGCUGGUCUCAAGUCCUAGGGUGCCUGGGAUGGCCCUAUUGAAAUGCUGCAGCAGCUCUUGUGCAGGCAGGGAUCUGUAUGGACAGCUGGGUGGACACAGGUGCCUACUGACCUCCCAGAUCCUUCAGCAGAGCUCAGCCCUGAGUGACAGCCCAAGGCAGACCUGGCUACCUCAGCCUCUGGCUCACAGCCCUCAGCCAGAGCCCUGAGAGGCCUGGGAUCUCAAAGCUGCAAGGUGGGAGGCCAGAGGAGAGAAGCCCGGAGCUGGUAGUGAUGCUGGCUGAGUGAAAAUUGCACAUUUCCCAACAGUGUGAUGCUCCCUAUCCAGCCUGGGCUUUUGGCAGACUUCUGUGCUUUGUGGAGGAAGCUGGCUCAGAUUCCUCCCCUCCCUGUGCAGUUUGUGUGUCAAGGUGUACUUGUCACACCCAACUCAGGAUAUCUUGCAUCACUUUGUGGGUCCUUGUCCCCCAGAGCUGGGACUGCUGAGUUUUAGCCCUAAGCUCUUGCUCCCAUCUUAGCAAGUCAGGGCCCAGUGUUGUCCUUGCCUCUGCAUCAGGAUGGUAAGCUGGGCAUGCUCCGCAUCACGGAGACCUGCAUGGACCUGGAUUGGGUUGCCUCUAUCUUCAGGCUGGUCACUGGGCAGACACAAACCAGGGCCUCUGGCCAGAGGGGACAGUGGCUCUGAGUUACUUGUGCUGCUCUUUAGGGGUGAGCAGGGGCUGCUUGUGCAUCAUAGUGUAUCACAGGGGAUGCACAUUUACAAUUGAAAGCUACUGGUCCUGGGUAGAAGUGGGGCCGAGUAGGACUUCCCAGCCUUGAACAUGGGUUUGUCAUCCAACUGGGACCCACACUUGAUCCAGCGGCCAUGCUCUGUGCAGCCUGGGCCUGAGGGCAGCCACGCUCAUGUGAAAAGUGCUAGUAGCCAAGCUGCCAUUCUAGUCACCACAGCUGUCCUUGCAGGAGCACAUUGCCCAGGGCUGGGAGCUGUCAUUUCCGUGACGGGAGUGAGACUCAACACUGGGUGAGGGUGGGGGUAUCUGUUGGGAAUUAUUUCAAAACAAUUGUGGAAACUUGGCAGUGGAGGGGCUCUGGGCAUAGGUAUCCACAAUAUCCUAGUCAGGGGUUGGGGUACCCUGGCUCUGCUGAUAAGCCCAAGUGAGCAUACUCCUCCCCCAGCUUGGAACAGGUGGGACGGGCCAGGUGACACUAGUGUGGUCUGUGGUCUGGCCUCCCAAGCCAGUGGCAGUACUGGGGUGGCAGACAUUUGCUGUGUGCUAUCCCAAGGCCUAAAGGUCACACAGCUAGGUUGGAGCAGGGUUUUGGGCAGGAUGAGUAGGCAUUGCUGUGCUCUCAGAAAGGCGAAGCAAACCCCAGAAGCAAGGGGGCGAGACAGGGCAAAGGCCUACACUUUGCCAUCAACUCAGGCCUACUCAAUGCUGGCCCUGUCCUUCCCCUGCCCCUGCCCCAUCAGAUGGUGCGAGCUGGCGGGGCUUAGAGUGAGCCCCCCUGACUCUUCUUGGUGUGGAGUCUGAGGCCCAGAGUGUACAGGCCUCAUCCGUGUGACCCAGCAGGAGGAUGGGAGAGUGGGCCCAGAACUUGGUCAGGCUCAUCCGUGGAGAACAAGUUCUUCCCUAGUCUAGUUGUGGUCUGAGUCCUGGGUGAAGCAGGAGGCAGCCUGGGAAACAGCCUCGUUCUAGUAGGAAUCGCAUUCUCAGGAACGCUGACUGUGCAGGGCCCUUUCUCACUGCCACCUGGGAGGAUGCCUGCCUGCUGGCCAUUUCGGCGGACUGUCAGAGCACCCUCCCUGGGGUCCCAGACCGAAGGCCUGAAGUCCACAUGGGACCCCUGAACUUCUGGUACCUGUGUGGGCUUGUCCCCUCAACCCUGAGUGGAAUGGCAACAGCCAGCUGCAACCCUCCUAGCUUCCUGUCAUGUGCUGUAUGGAAGGGCCAAGAGCUGUAGUCAUCUGCAGAUCCUCCCACUGCACCUGUAGGACUAGCGUCUCCUGUCUGGAUGUGAGCAACUUGCUGGUGGCCUGUGAGAUGGGAGUUGCACUGGGCUUCUGGAUAAGGGCUUCUCGUUCAGGCAGCUUCUUCCACACCUGAUUAGCUCUGACCAUCAGACCCCCCGUGCCAAAAGGGCCCCUUCCCUGGAAUCUGUAAUUCUCACAGGCUGUCCCAUACAUUUUAAAUCCAGGAAAUGUGCUCACCCAUGAGACAGGGAUGGCAAGAAGAUAUGAAUGAAAAGCAACCAGUCCGUAAAAUUGGAAGCCAUUUCACUCCUUACCAGGUACAAAGAUAACAUGCUGCAUGGAUCAGGGACACAAACUUACCUACCUUAUGAUGUAGUGAAAGAAUCUAAAACUUUUGUCUCAGCAGACUCCCUGGAGGAAGCCAAUAACAGGAGGCCUUGACUAGGAGACCUCAAGCCUUGGAAUGUGCCCAGACCAGUGGGGAGGGAAGGCUGGGAGGCAGUCCUCCCUUACCCCUUUUCUCCCAGGCAGACCUACCCUGGGUUCUCUCCAGGCCCCUCCGCCUGAGCAAGUGCUCAGUUGGCCACUAGCUCCCUGCACAUCCAACAAGCCUUUCUUUCCUGUUCCUUCUUCAAGGAAGGCUUAGCCUCAAAUCCAGGGCCACAGACAAAGGACAGUCACUCUCCUCUGCCAGAAAGUCAUUUAUGGGACAUGGAGAAAGCAUCAAAUAUAUUGCUUUUCCAACACCUAACAGUGGAAUAGGAGGAAUAGAAGGAGAACUCAGCCAGAAAGUUCUGGAGCAUAGUCUUUUUGCCAAAAGAACACGUUUUCAAAUGAAAGAGGUGGUGCUGGGGCACUGAGGAAUCAGGGGGAUGGACCCCACUGGAGCUUGUCUCAUGCUGGCAGCAAGUCCCAGGCCUCAAACACAUACCUGGGCCACCUCAGGAGAGAGACUGCAGGGAAGAAAUGAGUUGCAAUGCUCCAGCCUAACCAACUCCCCUUUUGUUAAUCCAAUCCCAGAAGGUACUGGGUAGGGUCAGUUAACAGACAGCUGCCUGUCUCCUGGCAGAGUCUGACCAAGCCCCAGUGGGCGCUUCUCUUCCUAAGUCCUCUGGUGUACCCCAUUCUUCAAGGGAAACGGUCCCCUUAAGAAUCUAUGUGAAAGGGUUCUGAAAUUGCUGUACCAGUUAAUGAAUUAUUUACUCUAAACAAUGUCUUGAUAAAGGGGGAGGAUGAAGUUAGCUGAUGUUGACUAAGGAGAGACGGAGUUGCCAAGGAAAUUCUUCUAAAUGAAAAAAAAAAAAAAGUAAAAGCAGUCAGCUGGUUUUGUCUGACUAUGAAACGUGUCACAGAGCAUGCACCUUUGGCCAUCUUUUGCAUUUAUGAUUUGGAAGAGAGAUGUAGCAGUGAGUGUGGGGCCAGGGAGGGGAAUCCAACAAAGCCAUUCUGCAAGCUAGUGGCUGGGAUUUUGGGGUAUAGAGUAAGAGCAGCCAGCCUUAGAGGCCCAUGUCAUCUGGGCUGCCUCAGAGCUAAAGCUAGGUAACCAGAGGGAGUAAGGAAAGGCCUGAGUCCCAGGCUAGGCUUUUCACAGUUGUAUUGAGAUGGGAAAGUAAGGGAUGUUCCUUGCAGCAGAUGCAGGGCCCAGUUGUCUAGAGCAGUAUUUGAAAUGAGUUGGCAUUUCAGGGCAGUGUUUGUGAUGCCAGUCAGUAGGUAGGGGCUUCUACCUCUUUUUUAGAAAUGUUUACUCUGAACUAAGCUCUAUGCUUUAACAAGUUAUGUUUUAAUAGGAAAACUGUCAUUGAUGGAAUCAUAUGUAAUUCCUACAUUUUUCCAGUUACCCAUUCCUGGGGAAAGCUUAGCCAUUGGACAAACCACCCAGAGCCCCAGGAACCUGCAUUUGCAGACAGCAGUGGCAGGCACAGUGGCCUAGUGUUGAGCGGGGGAAACCUGGCCUCUAUGUGUCUGGUUUUGCAAACUAAAACGCCAUUGCCCAUACUCAGGCUGACAGGUUCUGGAGGUGCCAUGGACUCCUGCUCUGUAUCUCACCUCUAGUUCCAUCACAAUGCAUGAGCUGUCAGUGGGAGCCUUUUAAUGCAGAUGCUAAUACCCAUUCCUAAUGCUAGCCCAUCCCCACACCCUCCUGAGUUGGUGCGAUAUAUCCUGGGAACAAGAAAAUCUGAAGGCUCCUGGUCCUCAGGCUAGCAAGAGCCUUGCCUGUAAGAAGUGGGAGAAGGUCACCUCUCUCAGGAGGCAGAACUAAGGCUGCACAGCACAAGGGAGAUGUCUGAAUGCACAGUCUGGGUGGCAGAAGGACUCCUGUCCUUUCUUCCACACAGACCUGAGCACCUCUCCAGGUGCCACCAUUUUCUGUCUGGGAACAUCUGCUAUCCCCAAGCCUCAGUUUCCUGGUCUACAAAACUGAGAUGGUCUCUUCUAUACAAGGCCCCAGGAGGAUCACUGCAAGUCACUGCAUUUCAUGGUGCCCAGAUUUCCCUGCAUUUCUAGAAUGUCAACAGAGAUGAGUGGGCUCAAGGGGAAGAGAUUCUUUAUGACUAGAGAUAUUCUGGUCAACUUUGGACCCCAGCUUCUAUGGACAAUAGCAUGUGGACAUGAGCCCUGGGGAAGCAGGGAUGACUGAGCCUGAAGAAGAGCUCUCAAGCCUUACACUCUCCAGACCAGCCUUGGGUUGCCUGAACCCCAGCAUAGCCUUAUGGAACCCCUGCCAGGGUCCUAGCACCUGGUUUGACCUGGGCACAAGUACUCACUCACUCACUCACUCACUCACUCACUCGUCAAACAUUCACUGAGGGUCCGUGACAGGCUCCAUAUGGAUUAAGCACUGAAGAUAAAACACUGAAUAGAAACAGCCAGCCUAUACCCUCAUGCUCCUUGAAUGUGAUAGAAGGAGCCAGCCAGUAAACCCUUUACCACAAAUAAACACACAGUUACACAUUAAGAAUGGGAGGGGAGGUAUGUGAUUUUUUACAGCCCAGUCUUAAGCUUUAGAAAUUGGCUCCUCUGAGGAAGGGACAUUUCAGCUAAGAACCACAGGAUAAGACAGUCCUGGCCUGGGGAAGGGGAGAGAAGGUCAGGAGAGAGCUUGAUAUGUUUAAUACUGAAAGAAUAUUUGAUGAGCUGGGACAUCUCCUGCAGAUCCACGGCUCCCUAGCUUUGUGACCCUGGGCCCUAGACUCAAUCCCUCAACCCUUAGGAGAUUAUCUAUAAAACAGGAGUGAUAAUAUUCUUGUGUUAAAAGCUGCUGUGAGGAUUAGUGAAAUGAUGUCUAUAUUUGCCUGGCAAACAGGAAGUGUAAGUAGUAGUAUCAUUUGAAGAUUAUUCUUCAGCCUAAACGUGUGUUCAUUAUGGCCGGUGUGUUUUCUCCCCACCUAGAUGGUAGUGCUGGGCCUCCUUUGGAGUACCUUGAUGUUUGGGGAGCAUGGAUGAUAUGACCAUAACCUGAGAAGGCAGGGACUGUACCCAUUCUGGUCCUCCCAGGUCCCAGGGCCCCCACAGUGCCCUGGUGUGUGAUCAGUGCCCACAAUACUGAAUAGAGGAACAGACACAUGGGAAGCAACGGCAGCCUGGUCUUUAAGGGUGAGGGAGCACCUUCUCCUGAGAGAGGGAGAGAUAGGUUGGGGGAGGUUGGGUGGGGGUGGGGAGAGCGAGUGAGCAAGCAAGCUAGAAACUUCCUGAAAAGGGAAGUUACUCUAGAAAAGGGUAAGUUCCUUCCAGGCAUCAUGGGCUGGCUUAACCUGGACCAGUUUGACUUUACUAAGUCCCAUUUCUCAUCUAGGGAGCCUGAGGCCAUUAAGGUUAUCUGGUCCCAAAAUCCCCUAGAGCUGUCACAGGGAUCCCCAUUCUUUGCCUUUAGUCACCCCAGCCCCAAGAGCCAUCCUCCACAUGGAGUGAGCAGGGAGCUACAAGGAAAAGACGGUCACAGUUGGAGAGAGACAGAGAACCAGGUGGGCUGGUAGGACAGGAAGGUAUAGGGAGAAAGUGAAGCUCUCUCCUGGGGAGGCAGGAAUACUCUCCUGCUUCCUUCUACCCACUCUUCAUAGAACACAAACACUGCAAAAAUGACUUUUUCCAAACCCUCUUAGCAUUCAGAAGUAGAAUUGCUAUGUAAGAAUUUUUUCAUAGGUGCUUUUUUGGGGGGCAUCUAUUUAAAAAAUAACCACAUCAUUAGUGAAAUCUUCCAAAGUCUCUUUUUGGAGCCCACAUUUCACUAAUGUCCACAUCUGAGGAGGCUUUCAUAAUAAAAGAACACAUACCUAUUUCACCUAUGAUGGUCAGUGCAAUCUUGAAAACACUAGUAAAUAGUGUCCAUCAGCUUUAAAAAUACAAACCCAAAUUGGGUCAUACCAAAAUGCAAGGAUACACACAAUAACCUGGGUGAAUCUUCAGGGAAUUGUGCUGAGUGAAAAGAGCCGAUCCCAAAAAGGUGAUUUGCUAUGUGGUUCCAUUUAUAUAAUUUUCUUGGAAUGAUAAAGAAAUGAAGAAUAGGUUAGUAGUUGUCAGGGGCUAAGGACAGGGUAGGGUGGGAGGGAAUUGGGGGUAGCUAUAAAAGGGGGACAUGAGGGAUUCUUGAAGAGUUAGAAAUGUCCUGUAGUGAGACUAUCAAUGCAAUAUCCUGGUCAGAAUAUUGUACUACAGUUUUGCAAGAUGUUACUAUCGGGGGAGACUAGGUAAAGGAGUAUGUAAGAUUUCUCUGUGUUGUUUCUUAGAACUGCAUGAGAAAUGUACAAUUAUCUCAAAAUAAAAAUUUAUUUUAAAAAAUGCCCAAAUUAAAAAAAAAUCAGUAGUCCUCCUAAAAAUACCCAGAAAUGAAUUUUAGAAUGUCCAAAAUCCAUACAAAGAUCUAAAAAAAUAUGGAAGGAUGUUGCAAUGGAUUUGAACAUGUGGGUAAACUGCUUCUAUUUGUGGCUGGAAAGACUUUUUUUUUGAGGUGGGGAAGGCAAUUCUUCAUCAGUUAAUCUAAAUUGAAUGAAGUUUCAAUAACAAAUGCCAAUGGGAUAUGAAUAUACACACAGAUAGACAACUUUUUUUUUUUUUUUUUUUUUAAUUAGGCAAGCUGAGGCCAGGUGCAUUGGCUCACGCCCGUAAUCCCAGCACUUUAGGAGGCUGAGGCGGGCAGAUCACUUGAGGUCAGGAGUUUGAGACCAGCCUGGCCAACAUGGUGAAACCCUGUCUCUAAUAAAAAAAAAAAUUAGCCAGUCAUGGUGGCAGAUGUCUGUAGUCCCAGCUACUAGGGAGGCUAAGGCAGGAGAAUUGCUUGAACCCAGGAGGUAGAGGUUGCAGUAAGCCGAGACUGUGCCACUGCAUUCCCGCCUAGGUGACAAAGUGAGACUCUGCCUCAAAAAAAAUAAAAAUAAAAAAAAAAUUAGGCGUGCUAGUUCUAAGUUUAUAUGAAAAAAAUGCAUGUCCUAUAAAAUUCAGAAGUAGCAGCAGUCUGGCCCCUUGUGCUCCUCUAGCCCUCAACUGGCCUAACAGGCCCUAGUGUGCAGCAGGGACUAUUUUCCCAUCAUCACUGUCCACAGCAUCUGGACAAGAAUACAGAGAACGGCUGAUUUAAAAAAAAUCUAAUCUGGGAUCCUAUGCAUCCUAAAUAAUCUUAUGAGGAUGCACUUGUAUUUUUUCUGAUGCUGAUACUAUUCAUUCCAACUCGCCUCCCCAUCAGCUUUGUCAGGCACUGUGAAUUGCAUGGUACACAUGAUUACAAUGGAUGGAAUGGCCAUCAUGAGGUAUAGCAAUACAUUUAAGUAACACUGUGUCACUACUAUAGGACAGGCACUUUUCUGCAUACUUUAUAUUAUUAAUUUGUGUAAUCCUCCUAACAACCCUCUGAGGAAGGUACUCUUAUGAUUCCCAUUUUACAAAUAAAGAAACUGAGACUAAGUGACUCACUCAAGGUGUAGCAGGUAGAAAGUAGUGGAAUUAGGAUAUGAGUUCAGACUCCAGACCCUGUUAUUAGCCCCUGUCUUUGGCUAUGGAUUAGUAAAGGAGAGCACAGCCAAGGGUGGGACAGGCAGCUGUAGUCCUCUGGACCAGCUUCACAUGGAUGGGGCUGCAUUGUUACAGGUGGCCUAACUCAGACAUGGAAACUGAGUCGCUGCUGCCCAACUCAUGCCAUGAAACCAUUUUGGCCUGCACAGCUUAUAACAGCACUCUAGCUCUAGCUAUGACACUUUAUGGUGUUAGUGGGUUUUUUUGGUGGUUGGUAUGGAGGAGGGGCUGGGCUACAAGUUUUAGAUUAUGUUUCUUAUUGCGGGUUUUUAAAAAUUCUUGAAUUAGGCCUAUUUGCUCUUUUGUUCUCUAUUGAGUUAGCAAAUUCAGUUUUUCCAAGAUGCCCUGAAAGUAUGAUCAUACAUGUAUACGAAAUGGUCCUUGGGUCCAGCUGGCAACUCCUGUGCACCCCCGACCUGGAUUCUGCCUUCCUUGAAGUGAGCCUUGGAAGAAACAAGUGCUCAUGCUCCCUGACAUUAUUAGCUGCCACGAUGAAGCCUCAGUCCCAAACACCCCAGCUUCCUGUCUAACUCAAGAGCUAAUCCUGUGUUUAAAUCUUAAGAGUGUUUAGAUCUUAGGCCAUGCCAUGAAUUCCCCUGGUUGACUGCAUUUGUGAAAAUGAGCUUCCCAUUAUUGGCUCUUAAGUAAUGGAGAUGAGGGGGAGUCCUGCUACACAGAUAAGUGCAUCAUAAAGUUACAUAAUUAAAAUAACUGAGCUCUGGCCUAUCAACAGGCCCAUCAGCAGUCCAGAAUAGAGUCUAGAAAUGGACACAAAUUAAAUGAGAGUUUGAAAUAUGAUAAAGGUAGCAGUUGAAAUUAGUAGAGAGAUGAUGAUGUACUCAAAUAAAUAGUGUUGGACAACUGGACAAAUAUAUGGGAAACCAAAUUGGAUUUAAUUACUCUGUCAAAAUCCCGAUAAAGCAAGGAUUUAAAUGUAAAAAAUGAAAUAAAAAAUGAUAGAAGAAAACAUGGAAGAAUUUAUUAAAACAAUUUCAGGAUGAGAGGUUAUUUCAGAAUUUAAGAUAAGGACCUCAAACCAUAAAAGACUGACACAGCUGACUAUGUGAAAUUAAAAAAAUUCUGCCACCAGAAAAAUAUUAUAGAAAAAGCCAAAACACCUAAGGAAAAUGAGGAUAAAAUAUUUUCAAUGAAUAUGACAAAGCAAGUUUCUACAAAUCAGUAAGACAAGGUAUUUUACAAAGUCCAAAGGGUAUGAAGAAAUAGUUCACAAGAAAGAAAAACAAAUGAUUUUAAGCAUUUGGAAAGAUAAAAACCUCAUUUCCAACAAAAGAAAUGUAAAUUAAAGCUCCAGUGUACCAUUUCUCAUCUAUGAAAUGAAUGAAGAUAAAAACCUGAGUAUACACUUGGUAAGGGUGGGGGAAGAAAGUGCAUUUGUGCAGUCAAAGUGAUGUAAAUGGUACAGCCCUUAUUUGGCAGUAUCUAUCACAACAUAAAUGAACAUUUUAAUCCUGCUGGAAAUGGGGGGAAAGGGAGGAUCUCUUAAAGUAAAUCCACUGAAAACGGAGACCAAAAUUUUACAAUAGAGAUAUUUGAUUGGGAAGUUAAUUUGAAAAAUAACAGUAGUUAAAAUAUUAUUUUAUCUCAUAUGCAAUAACAGUUGUUAGAGUUACAAUUAUGUACACGUUUUAGAAAAAAACAAAUCCAGAGGGGAUUUUGGUUUGUCUUUUGUAAAGCAUUAUAUGGUAACAUCUGAGGGCAUCUUUUAUACUUGGCAGAGGAUGUUGGCAGCACUUCCACAGAGAGGAUCAUUUUUUGUAGAAGUAUGGCAUGGUUUCACUGCUUGACCAAGAGGCCACCUGCAUCAAUUAUCAUCUCCCCUGCUGUCCUCUGAAAUGCUUAUCUAGGCAUCGAUCUUGGUUUCCUCUUCAACUGAUUAACUAACUGGUCUACUCUGCCCAGUCUCUAUUUGAGAAAUCAUUUGACAUCAUUUUCUUUAACUUGAUGAAAUCUCCUAUUUUGACAAGAUUUACAGUUCCUCUUUAUAAGUUCCUCUUUACUUUGUGUGUGCUUUAUAUUGUCUUUGGUUGACAAGAGACAGCCAAAGAGGUCAGUCAGCAGAGAUACAAGUAGGGAUAAGAUGGAUAGGGAGAAACAACAGUGUUCAAUAGGGAGGGAUGUUUCAGGGAAACUAAUUUCAUAAGUGGUCAUUUCAGUAGUGAAUAUAUUUGAAUGGUUAAUGGCUGCUGUUUUUUAGCUGCCCUACAUAUCCAUCAACAGAGGAUCUGUUCCAUAAAUCAUGGCACAAUGAAACUCUGCAGCUGUUAAUGAAAAGGAGAUUUGCUAGAUGUCUUAAUACAGAUCCAUCUCCAGAACAUACCAGUGUCUUCCUUUUAAGUGGUGCACACUGGGGCUGAACACUUACUAAGAAAUGAAAGGGCUCCCCAGUCAAAGCUGACAGGUGUCAUUACAACAUGACCCCUGUGGUAGAUCCCAGCACAAUACACUGGCCAUCACUCCAUUCUCUUCAAAUGUCCUAGGGUUGCUUCAUACAGCAGACCAUCGUACCCAAAGCCACUAUGCAUAUGACUUGGUUAUCUCCUGCCAGGCUGUAGUCCAGUUAGUGCUCCCUUGGAAAUACUCAAGACCUUAAUGAACUAUCUAUCUGUGAAUCUGUGAAGCUACCCAUUUCUUAGAGGCCUCUUUGGAGAGCUGGCUGUUGAAUACCCAGUAUGAUGGUCCUUAGCCUUCUUAGACCUUUCCUGUACCACUACCUCUAUGCCUUUUGCCAAGUCCAAGUGUUCACCAGAAAUGGAACUGAUGCCAGAAAGACUACAGCUAACAAUCUGAGCAGAACAGUGAGCAUGUCCUAUCUGGGAAAAGCCCAGCCCAUUGGGCUAAAUCUCUAGCUGAACACAGAGACUAUGCUCCUUCCAAUUAUACUGGAAGCCCAACCAUGAGAAAACAGCACUUCAACUACACUGUUCAGAGCCAUCACCUGUUCACACGUGUGUCUGUAUACAUGUAAACACACAUUUUGCAAUAAAAAUGCUUCUCAGAUGUACUGCACCAUAAUAAAUCAGCAUUGUAUGUACAGCUCAAAAAGAAGUAUGGCAUACCUAUGGAAGAAGUCAAAGGCAAAGUGUAGAAAAAUACAUACAGUAUGCUACCAUUUGUAUAAAAAGGAGCCGUAUCUACUAAGUACAUGCACACACAGACACACGUAUAUUUGUUUAUAUAAAAUACGUCUGGAAAGAUGCAAUAGGAAAGUGUUGAGUGGUAACCUUUAGGGAAGGAAACUUGGGAAUUAGGGUUGGGUGGGGAGAGUGUUAUUUUUCACCCCUUUUGUACUCUGAAUUGGUUUUACCAUGUGUGUAAAGACUGUUGUAUGAUUUUUGUAGCACAACCCUUGAAUACAUAAAGCACGAUUGGCUCCCCAGAAGGCAGGUGUUGGCCAGGCAGUGGAUGCACGGUAGGGCAGUGUGCAGCCCUGCAUGCACGUGGCUGGUAUGCCCUGCGGGCAGCAGCUCCCCGCACACAGUGCUGUGAGUCUCUGGUUCAUGUCACUCUGUGGAGCAGGGGCUGCUCCAGCACAAAGAGGUUUUUGACAGGGAAAGGCAGAGCCAGAGUCAGGGCAGGCCCUGGGCGGGCUCCUAGAGAGCCCAACCACCCUCUAAUAAGGGGUGCUCUCCACCCUAUCUGAGGAGCAAUUGGGAUCUCCUAGGAAGUGAAACUGUUACGUAUGUCUUAUUACAGAAUUUCCAGUGGAGUGAUUCUGGAAGAAAUGUGUAUGGCAUGUUGUGACUGCUAUGUCUCAUGAAAUAUUUACGUUUUUAUGUAACUUUUUUCCAUUUUCAGAUCAUCUUUUAUUUUAACGCAAAAUGACAAUAUAUUUUUCAAUUAAUUUGCCCAAUAUCUGUGUUUAAAUGUUUUCUAAUGCACACACGUGUUUUAAACUCAUUAAAAAAAUAUGACUUAGAUCCCAUCCCACUUUCAUGUUUUAUAUUGCCAAAACUCUGCUUUUGGGAGAGGUGAGUUAUCUUCACUUCUGAAACAGUACUGCUUGGGAGCUGGUUUGGCCCUGGCUAUUCUGGGGAAAUGACACAAUAUUGACCUAGAGGGGCCCUAAUCUUUCCCCGCUAGAGCACUACCUCUAAUAGGGUGAAGGAUGGGAGAAAGAGGCUAGUGAACCCACCUUCAGGUCUGUCCACUCAGGACAUGCCCACACUAGCCUCUCCAGGGGCUCUGCCCUUGGCAUCCCCGUCCCCCACCUGGGCUCUGGCAGAGAAGUCAGGCGGGAAGAAGCCGGCUGAGUGCCCGCCACUGUAAGAGGAAACGAAGAGAAACAGCUCCAGUCAGCCCCAGAAGCGAGGCCUGGAAAAACUCUGCAGCUGGAGCUAACACAAAGGACUUUUCAGACCCUGCAGCCAAGGUGCCCAGUGAGCUUUUUUUUUUUUUUUUUUUUUUUUUUUUAAAAAACAGCUAUUAGGGUGACAAGCCUUUCCAAAGGCCAGCAGUUGGCGAGAGUUUCCAGGAAGCUGGUCUGGCACUGGGCUGGGAUUGGAGCAACUUUAACGAGUUAAGUUCAGAAGGAAGGAGUCAUCAGGAAAGGUUUAAGGUUCAACAAACUUUUCAAAUUAUUUUGCAAAAAGUUCUGGCUUUCCAAUUCAAAGGCAUGUUUCGCUGUGACUGUUUUAAGCCAGAGCCUAUUUAAAAGGCAACACAACUAGCAUGCUUCAGAUUCACUCACUCGAGGUAUUUGUCUAAAUCCUCCGAAUGGGCUUUGCAAGUGCCAUCUAGUGCCUAGUAACACUGGGGCCAUCUUACACAUCUCGACAGGCAGCCCUCCUCCCCACGUGCCUCCCCCCAGCCUCUGUGGUCGUGUGCGCGCGGGCGCGCACACACACACGCACGCAUGCACCUUCCCUAAGCAGGAAGCUGCUCUUUGCCAAGAGCGAAUGGAAUUCAGAUUUCCAGAGGGUGUCCUUGGCCUCCAGCUCUACGGCUGCAUGAUGAAGAAAGGUCCUAGUGUGUGUGCCGGGGGCUGGGAGAGAGGGGCCUCCAGCUCUGCUCACAUCUAUCUGGGCCCCAAGAAAAACCCACAACUGGCUGUGCUCUCCCCAGCCACACCCAGCCUUGGUCACAUUCCUUCCCUUCCUGAGCCCACACUGGGUGGCCCCGGCAAACCAGCUUCCACACCUCCCUCCCCACCGGCAGGGAGACCUAGCCCAAGCCCCCAUGGGGCAGCCAGCAAGUACAAAUGAGGGGCUGCACCCCAGGCCCAAAGAGCCAGAAAGCACGGAGGGCCCUCCCCCCACCCCACCCCCAAUGCUGGGCAUCCCCUUGUGGCUGCUGUCACUCAUGGGGAAAGAGACACACUCCCUUGUCUAGCACCCGGUGAGCUGAGCUCCCAUCCCUUCCUGUGCCUGCUUUCAGGAAGUCCCUCUUCAUAUCCAACCUUGACUCUCCUGGCUGUGGUGCUUGUGGGCCUGGGAUUGAAGGGCCAUCACUGCCCUUUGCACCAGAGCUUCCCAACAUACCAGCAAGAAGGGACUGUACCCCUUCCCCUGUCCAGUCUGGGCCUUCCAAGCCCUGAGAUUCAGCAACCUCAGGAAUUAAACAUUUAUAGGAAAACACCUAUGCAGACAAGGGACAUGAGUCAGGGUGGUCAUCAGCAGUAGCAAGGUGGGUAGGCUGGUCACGUUUAGCUUCUCUUUAGCCCAAGUAAUAGGGUCUUCCACCUGCAUGGCCAGGGAGGGGAUAGGCUGAGAGCAAUCUUUCUACAGGCUGUCAGCAUCAACAAGUGGUUGUGAUGAGCAGGAGUCUGUAUGGCUUUUCAGGUGUUCCGGCUCAAGGAGGCCCAACACCAAGUUGGAACCUCCAGGCCUGGUGCCUAGGCAGAAGGUGGGCUAAACAAAGGCCAAGGGGAGCUCUGCUCUGUCACUUCCCUUUGUUUGCUAAUGAGACUGUUUCCAAAAGCUGGCCUGGUAGCCUGUGGGAUUGUUUCUCUCAAGAUUUCUUCUAGGGGAGAAGGUGGCUGAGGCUUUGCAGUCUGCAUCACCCAGUCCCCAGAAUCUACAGGGGACUCAGCUUGCCUAGUCACAGUUCGGCUUUUGGCCUUGGCUCCAGGGCCCAUUCUGAUCCUCGUGCUUGGGUCAGGGAUGGUCAGCACCCCUGCCCUGAUGCUGCCUGCUGGGGUCUCCUGCUGAGUACCGUGAAGGCCUACUGUGGCCUGAGAAGCCAACUUCACUGUCCCUUUUGGCCAGCCCUAGACCCUAUAUUUGUUCAAGUAACACAUUGAUUCACUGGCUUCUCCUUUAGGCAAGGCCUGCAGGGGACUCAGCUGGGGUUCAUGAUUCCUUGCCACCUGUGGUGGGCCUGCAUGGCCAGCCCAAGGCCUCAAGUGCCACAUACUGCUCCCCUGACAGUCAGGUGGCUAGGGUAUGACACUCAAGAAAAUGCCCAGGCAGAACCCAGAGUUGGGGUCACUUGGUCCAGCCCUUCUGAAGGGGACUGGUUGGAUCUGUUGCGGGGAGGAGACAGGCCAUGCUGGACCAGCAAAAAAGCAUAGAACUUGGAGUCUGGAACCUGACAUCUGGCCUUGGCUCUGCCAUCAGCUGGCUGUGUCCACUGGGCAAGGUCCUAUCAUAUCUGGUCUCAGUGCUUCCAUUUACCCAGAGUCCUUCCAUCACCUGACACCUACAGGGAUGCUUUCCCAAUCAAAAUUCAGGCCAUGUGGUUUGAUAAGGCCACCUUCCAAUGUGGAAGACAGGCUGGUAAUGGAGAGGCCUGGGAGCACAGAGCUCCUAGGCACUGCCAUGGAAUGUGGGGACCUUAGGGAAGGAUAUCUCAAUUGAAGCUCUUCAGAGCCCCUGGGGUGGACUGUUCUGUACUCUCAUCCCCUAACCCAUACCAGCCUGAGCUCAAUCAUAUCAGCCUGUGAAGGCUGCCCCACCACACUGCUUCUGCACCCACCACACCAGGCCCCCUUGAGCUCCCACCUGGAGCCCACACACCCAGCUGGUGGGGUUCGUGGGGCAGUUCAAAAAGAAAAGCAGAAAAAAGCAUUUGAGUAUUUUGGACUGGAAGGAAUUCAAUUUAACUUAACAAAUCAGGACAUGAACCUAAAGAAAACACUGAAAAACAAGCCCAACUUUGAAAGGCCCAAAGAGGGAGGAUUAGGUGGGAGAAGAAAGGUCCCCUGUGGGCAGAAGACAGCUGCUCAGUCCAGACCAGGGACCAGGGGAGGAUACUGGGCUUGAGUGCAGACCGGGCCAGGGUAGGGAGACAAGCCCAACAUACACUCGAGGACUUGAAGUCAGGGGUGCUAGCUGACUUUUUAGCCCACUCUUUCUACCCCAGAUACAGAGACUAGCUGCCUGAGGAAGCAUAGCGGGGCCCACAGGCUGGCUGCCUGGUGCUGCCCACCUCCUCUCCAGGGCUUGGCUCCCUGGGGCAGAAGGCUCAGACCUAUAACCACAGUGGGGUUGCAGGGAUUUAUUUGGGGGAAGAACCCUGACUGGGUCAGAAUGAUUAUGUGCAUGCAUGUAUGUGUAUGUAGCUCCUUGUUCUCUGAAAAGCCUUGCCUACCACCCUACUUCCCAAGUACCCUCUAUUGCCUUGCAAAGUCACCCCUGCUCUCUGCCUCAGUUUCCCCAGCAGGGCACCACAGGACACUGCUGUGGCAAGGUUUAUACUUAGGGUGCAGUGCAGUCUGAUCUUGUAUAAAUGCUCAGUGCCAAAGACUUAGGAGAUAAGUCAGGCAGAGUCAAAAUUAACCUUUGAAAAAUCCCUUGAAUUGGCCCUAAAAAUAAUCCCUUUCUCAGAUCUUUGUGUAUAUCCCCUGCUGGGUUGCUCUUCUGCCUGCUAAAGUGGGAGAAUCUCUGGGUGCACAUCCAGAGUACCCUGGGAGAGGCAUGCCAGGUGUUCCUGUACCUUUUUCAGGAUAUUCCCAGUGUCAUCUUCAGAGGGAGCCUCUGAGGCUGCAGCCACACAUGGGAAAAGAUUACUUAUGGAGAAGAUCAGAGGCUAAGGGGCUGGGGAUGGUGGGGACAUCGGAUUUUGAGGUCAGACCUGGACUCCUGUCUACCUCUGUCUCUCUACCUUUUAUUUUUCUUUCCUUUUCUCCUAACAAGGCCCUAUUUCUAAGAUGGCACCUCAGGCCUCCCAUGGGACCAACCAGGCCUGACAGACUAACUGCUCAGACUAACUGCCAGACUUCCUCCUGCUAGCCAGUCACUACCAAGGAUGUGUGCCUCAGAUACAGCCCCUGCCCAGGACACCUACGUUGUCCCUAACAGGGCCCACAUAUCUAAAGCAUGAAUGCCUAGCCAGGGGCUCUGGGGCACCAUAAGAAGGCAUGAAGCUGGGCCUGCCAAUUUGCAUCCUGGGAGGGCAGGUCAGCCUUGUCCAGGCAAUCCAGGAGGCUUCCCAGUGGCCCACUGGCCAGUGAGGACCUUUGACCUCCUUGGCUGGUGGCACCAGGUUUAUGAUGCACAUAGAGGCUGAACUUGAAGAAUUCUUAUUGCAGAGGGCAGCCACAAGAGCCACUGGCCAGUGCCCAGAUAAUAUCUGCAGACUGUUCCCUCCUGCUCCAUGGGCCACAGAAUCCCUUUGUCUUGUUACUGCUACACUGCCUUCCUACCAAUCUUCAGGGUUCAUCCUGGCCUCUGCCAUGCAUAUCCAGGCUCCCCCAGAGAUUGUGUGUCUGGGAAUGAGCCCUGGCUUCUGCUCCUAUCUCCCAGUGAUACUGGCAAGUCCCUAUCCUUCUUGAGGCUUCAAUUUCCCCUUCUGUGAGCUGGGAGGACAGGCCCACUAGAUGCUCUCUGAGGGACCUACCAAGGAUGUGGGCUGUGUGUCUCAGCCAACAGCAGUAUCUCCUAACCCCAACACAAGAAAUACACAUAGUAGGUGUCUGGUUAAUGCUCUUGGAAUUUCAGCCUAUACUAACCAUCUGAAAGCCACUGAGUCUGAACUCUGCUACCAUAUUUGAGAUUAUCUCUCCAUUGGGCACCUAUGGGUUGCCUAGAGACAAGCUACCAUGGUCCUCUUCCCUCGCCCGUCAUGUGCAGGGUCAAAGGCAGGUGAGCUACACAGCUCGCCCUGCUCUUCACUCUGCUUUAAUGUGGGUGCUUGCCUUGGCAGAUGGGCCCGACAGUGAUAAGAACAAAUGACAGAUGCAUACUGGGGCACCUGUGACUGCCAUGAGACACAGUCCACUGAUUCUGCCUCCAACCCCCUCCCCAGAGCAGAAUAGUGAGUGCUAGGUUUCCGCCUGUACCUCCACGGGACCCCAACAGCUCCUGAACCCCAUUCCGAGAUUUGAGGUUGUGACUUGGGGACCUCUAGACUUCCCUUCCCUCCACCUGACUCCAGACUGUCCUGGAGCUUGGGACUCUCAGGCCUCUAGGCACAUCUUAUUAAGGACAGCAGCUGACAGCCAUAUGUUGUGACCCCAUUUGUAUCCCAUGGUAACUCAUGACCUGGCAGUCUCAAAAGCUCUCAGGCCAAAUAAGGAAUGUCCCCACAGGAUCUCCCAUCACAAAGAGACAUUCUAUGCUGGCUAAUAUUUUCAGGCAUUUCCCCGAGUCAGGUAUGUGGCUGGAUGCCUAACACCAUCUCCUCAAGGCCUUACACUAAUACUGUGAGAUAUACUCCCAAUGUAUACAAGAGGAAACUGAGGCUGAUAGAGAUUAGGUGACUGCCCCAGUGUCCUGUGGGCAGGAUGAAAUGACCCAAGCUGGCCAGGGCUCCCUGACAGACCUUGUCCCUGGAUUCAGCGAACAUACAUCAAACCAUUAGCUGACAAGGAAUGAAUCUGACAAGCUGUUCAUGACCACCACACUGAAAACUACAGGGCAAGGUAAAAGAUAUGAAAGUCAACCUAAAUAAACAAGGGACACAUGAUGCCAUGUUUCAGGAGCCCCAAAACUAUAAGGAUACCCAUUCUCCCAUGCCCAUCUAGAGGCUGCUGCGCCUAGAGGAGGCUUUCCAUGGCAACUGGCAUAUGUAUGGUGAGGAGAAACCCUGCAAAGACAGCAAAGCCAGUGAUGGGGAAGGAGAAGCAGCCAGAGCCAGCAGGACCAGCUGUCAAAACCUGUUAGCAAACUACAGUGAGAAGGAAGCAAGGUCCUGGCCACAAAGAACAACUUGAAUCUGACCAGUGGCACCCAAUAGGGUCCAGAAACAGAGCCACACGUAGCCAGUGAGCUGAUUGUAAAGACACUGAUACGGCAGGGUAGUUGGGAGAGGACGGGCCUUCCCAUGCCGGGUGCUGAGCUAGACUGGAUAUCCAAGUAGGGGAAGAGUGGACCUUGACCUCGGCCUCACAUUGGACACAAAAAUCAAUCCCAGAUGGAGUGCAGAUCUACAUGGGAAAGGUGAGCUAAUAAAGCUUUAGAAUAAACCAGAAUAUCUUUAUGACCUUGGAGUAGUCAAAGUUUCUUAAAUAGGACACAAACAGCCCUAUCCAGAGAGGAAAUGUUUGAUUAACUGGACCACAUGAAAAUUAAGACCUUCUGUUCAUCAAAAGACACCAUCAAGAGAGGAAGAAGGCAGCCUGCAGAGGGGGAGGCGAUAUUUGCAAUGUGUGUGUCUGUGAGAGAGUGUGAGUGUGUGUAUCUCUCUCUCUGACAAAUGACUCCAGAAUAUCUAAAGAUAUAUAGGACCAUAAAUAAACAUAAAACAGGCAGAAGAUGUAGGCAAUUUAUACAGAAUGAUGUAUCUGACUAAAUGAUAACAUGGAAAGGGACUCAACUUCAUUAGUCAACAGGUUACUGCAAAUUAAAAUCACCAUUUGAUGCUGCUAGACAUUCACCAUCAUGGCUGAAAAGGAAACGACGGAAAAUGCCAAGUGUUAGGAUGUGGAGCAGCCAGAAUGCUGCCUGUGGGAAUGAAAAUUGGAAUGACUCCUUUGGUAGACUGCUGGGUAGUAUUCACUAAGAGUAAACAUAUGCCCACCCAGGACCCUGCAGCUCCACACAUAGGCAUAUAUUCCCCAGAAACGCAACCUGAUGCUCACCAAAAGCAUGUACAGAAUAUUCUUAAACAGCAACCUACACCAGAAACUGCCUGCUGGCCACAGGUGGUAGAAUGGAUGAAUGAUGUAGGCCAUGCACACAAUGGAGCACCAGUCAGCAAGGAGCAUGAGGGAGCACUCUCCCUUCAGCCCCAUAGAGAGGCUGCCAGACAUCAAAUUGAGUGAGGGACAUUGGACACAAAGGUGUAUGAGUUGCAUCAUUCCCACCGCAUAAAGUUCAAAUGUGGGCAAAGCUGGUCCUUGCUGCUAGCAGUUAGGCCUGUGGUUAAUCUCAAGGUCAGUGACAGGAAAUGGGAGCCUGAGAGGCUUUCUGGGGGUUCUGUUGCUUCCUCCGGGUGCUGCACACAUGGGUCCCAGGGACUGAAGAUGCCUCAAGCUGCGCACUUGAGACCUGUGUACUAAUCUGUGUGCAUGCACAUUACCCUUUAACUAAAAGUUUAACACCACCACCCUAUACCAGGGUAGCCCAGGUGAGCCUAAUUAGGUGGAUAGCCCUGGCCUUCAGGGCCGCUAGGCCCAGCCCCAUCCCACUCCCUCACUUAAGGGGACACGGCUUCCAGACUUCCUGACUAGGUCACCUCCGUGCUUCAGCCUCCAGAGGCUCUGCAGUUCAAUCUCCCCUUUCAGGUAUCAGCAGAGCACACAAGAGAUCUAUAUGGGAUGUGCCCCCCGCCCAACCCCGCCCCGACCCCCUGCCCCAACUGCCAGAAGUGUCUCCAUGACAAUAUCAGUGCAGUUGUGAAGUCCUUUGCCCUCCAGCCACCUCUGUGGCGUGAAUGUUCUCUCUGUCACAUCCUCCAACACCAUCUGCUUGGCUGAGGACCUGAGCAGCAUCAUGGCUGGGAGUUCACAAGUGGAGAGGGCUGAGCCUGGCCAGAGUGCACUGGGGCAGGGUGAUUUGGAUGGCCUUUCCCUUGCAGAGGAAAUGAGAAGCCUCACUGCUUUCUUCUGGGCCAUCCACCUAGACAGUGCGGCCCUCUCCCCAUAGCAGCAGCCCUAGGCCAGCCGCUUCUUCCUCACGUGCUCAGACGGAGGAAGUGAAGUUUGGAAAGGUUAGGGGGCCACGGGGGGCCGCCACAGCUGGGCUGAUGGCAGGCUGGAAGCCAGAUUGAGGGCAUCUGAUUCCCAAUCCCAUCUCUUUCCCACUGAGCCAUUACGCCUCGGUUUUAAUUUAAUUAGAAGAACAUUUAAUCCCCCCGUGCAUUUCAGAGACGGGUUUGAGCCUGGCUGGGGCUAUGUGGGGCUCUGACGGGGAUCCUAUGACUCAUGCAGCCCUGUACAGCCCUCCCGGGCGGGCCCCCAGAGGGCUUCCUUGGCAUCUCGUGCAGACAGAGGUGGUCUGGAGCUUUGCAGAAGACAGGACACUGGUCUAGAAAGACAAAAUGGUCUCAUCUGUUCUUGACAAGCCCCUCACUCAUCCUUCUGGACACUGGUUCCCAGAAUGUCCUUUCUGUCCUUUCCCACCAAAGUUUACAGGGAGAGAAAUAUGGUGAGGAGCUUAGACACUCACAGAGCUGCAGUGCCUGGUACCCUGGGGUCUGUGGGAGUAGGUCACAGUGGACCUGGAUGUCUCCAAAAUGUCCCAGGCCAAGCUGGUCCCAUCAAAAGAGCUAGCCCCUUGGUCCAUGAAGCCAAAUUUGGGGCCACCCUUGUGACGUUUGCCCUUAUUUCCAGACAGCACAGACUGGCCCUGUCCUUGCUGACAAAUGCAGAAUUCAGGAGACAUUAGUAGUGAUGUGGAUGAAAGCCAGGCCACAGCGGCCUUGCUGGAAAAGAGCAACUCGAAUGUCUUGGCGUGAGAUUCUGCAGGGUCCAGGAGAAAGUUGAAGACAUGGAAAUUCUAAUUAACGCACACGGGGCUGUUUUUGCUCAAGGAUUUGCGAAGCUGUCAUGUCACAAGAGGCCAGGCAAGCACAUGCUUGCCAGGGAGGUGCUCACAGUCACCUGGUGGGGGUCUCUGCAGCUUUCCCUCUGCCUUCUUUCCACCCCCUCUGCCCAGCCUCGGGGGUCCUGGUCCUCCCCCAUGCCCAUCUCAAUGGGCCGGGUGCUCCCUGAGUGUCCCUCUGGAGAGUGGGACUGAGGGCGGUAUCUGUUAACCUCGAGCUGGGGCUUGCCCAUCUAAGAUGCCAAAACAGAAGAGACAGGGGCCCUUCAGAGAAACCACAUGACUGGGCUGGGCAGAGCCAUAGGCUGCAGGGCUUAUGGGCCUGUCCUCUUGGGCCGUCUAUCUCAGGUAUCCAUGUGCAACCAAUGGGGCAGACGUGUGAAUUCCAGGCCAGUCCUGGCUGGCUUGGCAGUUGGGGAUGCAGUGUGAGGGAGGAUUUCACAAAAAUGAUUUCAGCCUCCCAGGGUUGCUUGGAGAAGCUCACCCAGGCCACACCUGCACACAGCCCCCAAGUUCAGAGCCGCAGAUCCUCAGGCCCCUAGCCCUGUGCCUCAGCACUGGCACAAUGUGUCUGCAGUCCUUGCUUCAUCUUAGGCAGGGUUGAGUGAGCAGCAAUCCUAGGGCUUCUCCAUGCCUGGGGCUUUGGGGGUUCUGGGGAGGAAGAGACCAAGAGGGCUAUACAUGCCCUUCUCCCUCCUGGCACCAUUCGAAAGGCUUAGGGAACUGGUACUGAGGGCUUUGAGAGCCAAAGGAGGACACAGCCGUACAGCCUAAGUGUGUCCUGGGGGGUUUACUGAGCAGACGUUGGAAAGAUGAAUGGAAAUCUGGUGGCUGCAGAUGGGUGACAAGGGCAUUCUAGAUGGCAGGUUACCACACGCAAGGCACAGGGAUGCACACAGGCAUGGCACCGUCCCCACCCACUGUCGUGCCAGUGACCCUUGGUGAGCAGAGGAUAGUGAGUGGGUCAGAAUCCCAGGAACUCAUCCUGGCUCUUGGGGUACAGGGCUCCUCUUGUCAUGGGGGUGCUCCCCAACUGCCCAUGCAGGCCUACAGUCUCUACUUCCCACCUUUCUCUCAGAAGCCCUGUCAUAUGGUUCUGGGUGGGAGACACAGGCUCAGGGAGUUUGAGGCUGGCAGGGACUCUCUUGUGCCCCAUUCAACCUAGGAAGACAGCUUCUGCCUGAAAGGUGUGUUCGAGGCUGAGUCCUGGCCGCCCAGAGCUGGUUGAGGGUCCUGAGGCUGAGCAGUAGGGCCCACCUAUAGGCUGGGGUGCAGCGACGCCACUCUUUAUCUCCUGGGUACCCCGUGCCUCAGCUUGUCAUGACUCCCUAGCUUGCAUCAGGCCUGCUCACCCCCCACCCCACCUCUGGCUAACAGGCCCCGGAAAGAGGAGCUUCGCCCAGCCCCAGGGACCUUCCCGUAAUCAAGGCUAUAGUGACCUCACCUCUCUGGGGCCCUGCGGGCGGGGAGAGCUCGAGAUGGAAACAAAAUGUGUCUUUAUUUAUGUUUUUAAUUUGAAUUCUGGAACUGGCCCAGCAUGGUAAUACAUUUAACAUCAGUAGAAUGCUGAAGAAAAAUGGAAAUGUUUUUUGGUAACUGCCUCCCACCCACUCUGCCCCCUGUGAGACCCCAGCACACAUCCCUGUCCCUCACACACACCAGGGCGUGUGCCUCUCUUCCCAGUUCAGGGUCCAUGGGGCCAGGCUGCCCACAGGAGCUUCGCUGCAUCCCUGAGCAGCUGGAGCCGAAUUUAAUUAUGGGCAUCACUGGGCGGGCUGUGCAGGAGGUGGAGGAAUGCAGCCCCAAUGCGGGCAGAAGACCUGCACGGCCCCCACACCCCUGCCGCCAGGCGGUUUGGGCCCUGAGGAAACAGGGUGCCCACUGCUGCCAGCCUUCUCCCCCAGAUGGAGUGGGGCCUCUACCCAGCCUGUAUCCCAGAGGAGCCUGGGUUCCUAGGCCCUGACACUGUACGUGCCCACUCUCCCCUUCAGGCCUCUCUGGAGGGACCGUACCCUGACUUCUGAGGAUGCAGGAACCCAGCUCCCCUGAAGCCUCAGCCCUGAGUCUUCCCUGACCAGAACACAAUGCCUCAAGGUGGCCCCUUUGCAGCAACCUCCUUGUUUUUCCCUCUCCCAGUCCCCUCUUCAGAUCCCUCACCCCAAGCCCCAUGCCUGGGCUCCUUCCUGCCUUCCCAGGCUGGCUCAUAUCUAGCAGCCACUUUUGGAACAGCCUGCUCUGAGAGAGGCCUUGGUAAGUUACAGGGCAGGGACCUGGUUGGGUAAUGACUGGAGUCUCUGACCUGCCUGGGCCCACUUAUCACUGGAGGCCAUGGGAGUGCCAACCUGAAAAGGCUGCAGGAUCUUGCAGAAUGGUAAUGUGCCAGACCCAAAGUGGGCAGAGAGCUUGGGGAUGGAUGUUCAGGUCUCUCAGGCCCUGUCAUCCUGGAGUGGAACAAGAAACAGCCCAGUGUCCUAGAUGACACAGCCACACUGGCUUGGGGUCACCCUUGGGCAGGUGGGUAACCUCUGGCUCCAGGGAGCUUGGCAUGUGCUGAUACCAGCACUGGCAGCCCUCACCCCCAUAGUGGUGAUUUACUGGGCAGCUGCAAGUUUGGCUGUGAUCCACAUAAGUGCCUGGUCUCUCACCACCUUCACCUGCAGGGGCCUUGCAAGACCCAAGAGUUGGUAAGGCCUGGCUGCCCAGCUAGAUGGACUGUGGGUGAUGGCCCUCUCCUCCCAGUAGGACUUUUUGCAUGUCUGGAUGCUGGUCCGUGACCAAGAGAACCAAGGUGAGCGAGAGCUCCAACAGGAGAAGCAAGCAGCCAGAAGGAUGAGAAGGGACAGUCCCCUCUCUGAGGGGACAGCCAAGAGGCAAUACAGGCACUGCCACCUGUAUUGCACACAACAUGAGCCACUAAACUAACACUGAUCACUUUGGAGGUCCAUCAUAUCCAGGACUUGGUACAGGCCUUGGCCACAGUGUAAGCCAUCAUUCUGCCUUCUGGUGCUGACCUGUACCUGGGCAGCCCAUCUGGCUACCAGCCUGCUCACACCUCUGCUCCUGCCUUUUUACCCAGCCAGGAGGGGCCCAGAAGCUCAGAGCCCUAUUCUCAGGGUGUCCAUGACUAGUCACCCCUGCUUUCCAGUGAUCUGCUGGCUCCCUUGGAGCCUCUUCACACCCUACCCACCAUGAGGUACUGCCAACCUCUCUGUGAACUGGGGGGGCCUGGAAAGACAGUGGGCAGGUCCUGUCUGAUCAUAAUUACCCCUUAAGAUAGCCACUCCUUCCCUGGAGGUGGCCUCAUUCUGGCUACCCAACCCUGCCAGUUCUCUGGUUACACCUGCAGCCCCCAGCACCAUGGGUCCCGAUUUCCUCAGUGAUUUGCAAGGCCAGGCCUUGCACCUGGCUGGCUGCAAAGGCAGGAGGCCCAGGGCCUCACUACGACAAAGACACACAUGGCUCAGGACAACCUCCUGACCCCCAGAGAGUCCAAAGAACAAAACACCCUUUAGAAAAAUGUUGGUAGAGAGAAGGAGAGUUUCCACAAGUGACCCUCAGAAGGGCCGCGAGUGUCACUCACAGAUCUUGACACAAAGACAUUUAUCAAGGGGAAUCCCCAACGGGUUAGCAGCCAGAAUGGGACUGUGGCCAGAAUGGACUUGGGUGCCCCACUGACCCCGCUGCACGGCUGUCACCGCUGGGCACCCCAGCGGGGAGUCACAUGUCGCAGGGGAAUCACACCGUGGCCGGGCACCGGGGAUUGGCCUGGCCAUGCCGUGACGGCGGGGGAGGACGGGCAUGCAUCCCAGGCCAGCUGUGCCUCAGGGGAAGGCCAACUGGAAGGCGUGGAAAAUCAGCCAUUUCCUCCACCUGAAGGAGCCCCUGAGGACAGCAGCAGCAACUGGCAGACUGCACCCGGCAUCUGCCCCAUGGCUUUGGCCAGGGUUCCAUGGGGAAAUGCUAAAAAACAAAGUCGUCUCUUUUUUGGGGGGCAGGGGAGGGGGCUGGGGGAGAGAAAAACAAUCUCAGACUCUCAAAGCAUGAAAACAAGUGGAAAAUGAUCAGUCUGGUUUUCCAUAAGUCAAAACAAGAGGAUCAUGUUCCCAGGCUCAGUGGGAAGUGCCCUUGCUCUCCUCUCUUGCCUGGUGCCUCCGUGUUGGGGCCAGGCAGACGGCAAGUGGUGGGCACUAGGCGAGUAGAUAGCACUCUGGCCAGAGAGCAAGGCUUCCCCAGCACCAAGUCUGACUCCUUGAGCUCCAGUCCCCUCCAGCCCAGCCCUUCACGCACAUGUAGGCACUCACUGUGAGAUGUGGGUGAUGGGUGUCAGCAGAGUCUCCCCUUCCAGGUCCAGGUCCUCGGCGAAGCUGUUGGUUCUCAUGAAAUGGGGCAUGCUCACUUCCAGCAGUGUUGGGCUCUUCCUUACUGAGGAGAAAGUGUGGGGACAGCACGUUAGGCCUCCCACCCAACCUGCCAGUGCUGUGGAGCCAGGCCUGUGAGCUCCCAGGGCCAGGUGAGGAGUGGAGCUUGUGCCUGGAAGCUCCAGCCCUGACAAUCAGUUUUAUAGUUGGGUGUUGGGGUGGGUGGGUGUUUAAGAUGGCCCCAAAGUGCCUGACACCUCAGUGUCUGAGGAGAAUAAAGGCCAGUGAAUCAUCUUCGGAGUGGUAACUGUGCCUGGGGCUGUGCUCAGGUGUCCAAGACUCUCCCCACCUCAGGUUCUGGGCCUCUUCCCAUGUUCACAACUGACACUUGGGUCAAGAAUAAAACAGAGGUGACAGGCACAGGCCUGGUAAGGGACAACAGCUCCCACCACCAUACAUUGUCACACUCAUACAUUGACAGAGUAGUGGGUCAGGAAAGAUGGGGUGAUAGGACCUCUGACCCAUGAGGAAUGGCAAGCCUGGGAGGUGGGGGCAGCCACAGAACUCCUUCCUCAAAACACGAUGCUACAUCAACCAGUUGUACCCCCAAUGAGGCACAGGAGUCCCUCCAACAGCUGGCUUCACAUUAUGAUUCCUGGGCCCACCUCUGCAACUUUGACACAGGAGCUCAGGAUACUGAUCCUUAUCACUCCCCACUCUCUGUUGACACUAUCAGUAUUUGCUCUUGGCUUAUAUUUGUCUUCAUUUAAAUAUUUUAUUGCAAAAGGAUUAAGUACUCAUCUGUGAGAAGUGGAAUAAUUCAAAGAUUCACAAUGGCUUUCCUCCCCCAAGGUCAUCAGUGUUAACUGCCAACUAGAUCCCUAGCCCACCCUCUCUGCUCAUCCGAGCAGCAGAUGCCAGGUGGGAGUUGCUUUUAUGCACAUGGGAUGUCACUGUGACUCUGUUCCUGUCACUCUGUAACAUAAGCUCAUUUCAUUUUUCUCUAGGUAUAUAGGCAUGGAUUUAAUUAUUUUAGUCAUUACAUAAUAGUCCACAGUUUAGAUUGGCCACAGCUAACCAUUCUGUAUAUCAUGGACAUUCAGGCUCUUAUAGUUUUAAGCUGCUUAAUUAUUCAGACUAUGAUGCCAUAUUCAUCUUUAUUCUUAAAAGCUGACAUACUGGAGCAGGGUGAGAGGGUGUGUCCUUAGUAAUUUUAAUAAAUGUUGCUAGAUUGCUUUCCCAAGAAGUUGUAGCAAUUCAGGCUCCCCCAGCUUUCCCACAUCCAUGCCUGAAUGAAGUGUUGAAUGAAGCCCGAAUGAAGGUUGUCAGCACCUUUUGCAGGGACUAUCAAGCAUGGAUGAAAACUGAGGCAUUGCUGUUAUUUCCAUCUGUGUUGAAUACCUUUUAUGGGCUUGGCAUCUGUUUGGGUUUCCUCUUGCAGAAUUGCCUGUUCAUGUCCUUUGCUCACUUUUGCUUAUCACUUUGUAGGAAUUUUCUAUACAUUACAGACAUUAACUCCUUGUUAUAUGAGGCAUAGAUAGCUUCCCCAGUCUGUUUUUUCACCUGAAUUAUGUUGCUUUUAUCCUAGAAAAUGUUUUAUGUUUUUAAAGUGAUACAUCUUUUGCUUUAUAAAAAAGGAAGGUUUUCCCACAUCAGCGUAAUACAAUUCUCUCUUAAAUUUAUUCCUAAUUUCACUAUUUGAAUGUGUUGUAUGUAUACAUAUGUAUGUGUGUAAAAGUUUUAAUGCAUUUAGUAUCUAUGCCUGAUAGGACAGAUGAUCAACAAUUAGAAAAUGAAAAUUUAAAGGGUACUACAUACAAACUUACUGAAAAAAAAUCUAAAAUAAAACAUAAAACCAUAAAAUAUCUUGAAGAAAACAUAAGAGAAAAUCUCCAGGACCUUGGAUUUGGCAGUGAAUUCUGAAAUACGAAACCAAAAGUUUAACUCGUAAGAGAAAAAGAAUCAACAAAUUGGACUUUAUCAAAAUUAAAAGCUUUUGCUGUGCAACAGACACUGCUAAUGGAAUGAAAAGACAAAGCACAGACUUGGAAAGAAUAUUUGCAUAUCACCUAUCAGGUCAAGGACUUGCACUCAGAAUAUAUAAAGAAUGCUUACAACUUGACAAUAAAGUGAACAAUCCAAUUUUAAAAAUGGAUUAUAAAUAAGCACAUGAAAAGAUACAUAAUUAACAUAAAUAUGGAAAUGCAAAUUAGAAUCACAAUGAAAUUCCAUAAAUUAAAAAAAAAAUUCAAAACCUGACAAUACCAACCACUCUUGAGGAUGUGGAACAUGUAGAACUCUCAUAUGUUACUGGUGGGAAUGCAAAAUGGCACAGUGACUUUAGGAAAUAGUUUAGCAAUUUCUUAUUAAGUUAAACAUACACAUACCACAUGACCUAUCGGUUCCUUUCCCACCCAAGUGAAUUGAAUUUUUAUGUUCGCAAAAACCUGUACAUAAAUGUGUAUAGUAACUCUGCUCAUAAUUACCAAAUACUGGAAACAAUGAAGAUGUCCUUCAACAGGUGAAUGCAUAAACAAAAUGUAUAUAUUCAUGCAAUGGAAUACCACCCAGCAAUAAAAAGAAAUUAACUAAUGAUUUAUGCAACAACAUGGAUGAAUCUCAAAUGCAUUUUGCUAAGCAGUGAAAGAAGCCAGAUGCAAAAGAAUACAUAUUAUAGGAUCCCAUUUAUAGGACAUUCUAGAAAAACAAAACUACAGGGACAUAAAACAGAUCAAUAGCUGCCAGUGGUUAGGGGAGAAGUACUUGACUUCAAAAGACUCACCCCAGGGUAUUUUUAGGGGUAUGGAACUUCUGUGAAUGAUACUGGAUUGUGGACACAUGACUCCAGACAUCUGUCAAAACCCACAGAACUGAAUCUCAAAGAGUGGAUUUUACUGUAUGCAAAUUUAAAAAAUUAACCCGGAUGUUGGAGGACCCUACGAUGAAAAGCAGACUAUGAUGAGCGUGUUACAAACAAAUGACAUAGCAGUGAAAGGAAAGGAGGAGGAGGAGCUGGCAUAUGUUGCUUUCAAAAACACUGUUUUGACUGGACACUCUAUGGUUAAAGCAAAAGUCUGUCCUAAACACUCUAAUCUAGUAGGUAAAUUUGCUUCACAUAGGGUACUACGUGUACAAUAGGGUUACACAAAUAAGUAAAUGAACUGUAGGUAAUGGGAGCCAGGUUUCUAGCUGUCAGAGAAAAAGCUAUAAAUAAGUUGUGGGGGAGGGGGCAAGGAUGAACUCUGGUCAGAAAUGUCAGUAUGAACUCAUGGUUAGCUUUAUAUAGAUACAGAUAUGUAAAGAUGUAUGUGUACUCAGGUUACAUACAUACAUAUAUUUCCUAGCUCUGUCCACUGAGAGGAGACUGAAGCAAUGAUACCCUAGUAGCCACGAGCAUACCCCGUGCCUAGAUCCAGGUUUUCUAUUCAUUCUCCAGGGAGCCAGGGCUCUCUGGAUGAAUGGAUGAUUCUAGGGCUAGGGUAGGGAAAAUAAAAGAUGAGCCUGAAGUAUUGUCAAGUGCUAGAAAAGAAAUGCUUAAAAAUAAAUGAAAAGGAUGGCGGGGGGCACAUCAAAAGGACACAUGAACCCACCAGUGGCCACAGCUUGAACAAUUUGAGCAACAAAAUAAAUAAUAUUGGACUAUAACUCAAAAAAUAAAUACUCCCAAAUCCACACUGAUAAAAUUAAAUAAACAAUUGGAGGAGAGGGACAAAUCUUCCUUAUAAAGGAAUUCCAAAUAAAAAAUGUAGAAGGAAUGAGGAAAAUAGAAGUACAUCACGGUAAUAUUUGCUGCAGGAAAACGAUCCAUGAAUGAAUGCUGAAAUUAGUUAGUGAAACUCAGAAACUUCACAGUUUCUUCCUUGAAAUGUAUUUUAAUUGCUGUGGUAGUUUUAACAUAUUUGCAGAUUUUUUUUGAUACUCUCCUGCAGGAGGUAGAGUUGAACCCCUCCCUUCCCCACCUUGAGUGUGGGCUAUACUUAGUGACUCGCUUCUAAAGACUAAGCUAUGGAAAGGGAAAAACAGCUAUUCACUUACAGUGGAGGAGCCUGGCCGACACCACUUUAAACGAGUGGCUCAAGGUUAAUAUUACCAGUGAUAAACCAUGUUGAUGUCAUGUUCCACAAUGAGGAAAGCAUCUCACCUCACUGGCCUCCUUCCCCUAAACCUAUAACCCUGGUCUAGUCCUGAGAAAACACCAGACAAAUCCAAACUGAGGGACAAUGACACCUGACUGGUAUUCUUCAAAAGUGUCAAGUUAAUGAAGAACAAGACUGAGAAGCCCGUCACCGAUCAGAGAUGACAAUAAAUGUAAUGAUCGAUCCUAGAUGGGAUCUUGGAACAGAAAAAGGACAUUAGUAGUUAAACUGGGGAAAUCCAAAUAAAUUUAUAACUCUAGCUUAAUAGUGUACCAAUGUUAAUUUUUUAGUUUUGGUCAAUGUACCAUGGUUAUAUAAGAUGCUAACAUUAGGGGAAGCUGGUGAAAGGGAUGUGGGUACUCGGUACUAUUUUUGUUUCUCUUCUGUAAAUAAAAAAUGUGAGGUAACAAGAGAAAACAGAACCUGUAUACAAUAGCACAAAAGAAUAUUAAUUAUCUAACUAAGUAUAUGCAAGAACUCUGGAGAAAAUUGUAAAACUUUAGUAAGAGACAAUGAAGAAGAUAUAAAUGGAGAAAUAUGCCUUCAUUCCAAUGACUAGAAGACUCAAUACUGAAAAGAUUAUCUCAAAAUCUGAAUAAAUCUCUCCAAAUCUUAAUAAAAAUCUCAAGGCUUCUGUGUGAGAACUUUGGCAAGCUGAUUCUAACUGCGACUUGGAAGUGCAAAAAGCCAAGAAUUGGCAAUAUUCUUGAAGAAGAACAAGGUGGGAGAACUUGCUGUACCAAACAUCAGUACUUCUUCCAAGGCAGUGGUCAUUAGGGCAAUGUGGUAUUGACACAGGGAGAGACAAAUAGGCCAAUGGGACAGGAUUGAGCAUUGGGAAACAGCCCACACAAAUAUGGAAGCUUGCUGUGUAUCAGAGGUGGCCUGCACAUCCUGGGAAGAGCAUGGACUUUUCAAUCAAAUGUUCAGGAGCAGUUGGAUACCCACACUGGAAAAACAUUAAGUUGGACCCUUAAUUACCUCACAUCAUAUACCAAAAAUUCAUUCUUGUCAUUCUAGGGGAUUGAAGACCUAACUAUGAAAAGCAUAACUAUAAAGGUCACAUGACUGAAUAUAGAAGAAUAUCUUAAUGACAUCAGCAUUAGGAUGGUUUUUUUUAAAAGAAGCAAUAACCAUGAGAGAGAAGACUGAGUAAUUUGACAUUAGAGUUAAGACCCAAUCAUCAAAAUACACCUUAAAGAGUGAAAAGACAGUGCCCACAAAAUGCAAAGGACUCCUACAAAUCAAUAGGAAAAAUAUAAAUGACUUAAUAGAAAAUGGGCAAUAGACAAAGUAGCACAUCACAAAAGAGGAAUCCAAAAGGCUGAUGAGCAUGUGGAAAGGUGUUGCGCCUGACUAGCAAUCAGGGAAAUGUAAAUAAACUCAGGAGCUCAUGGCCCGUGGGGGCGAGUGGCAGACUUCCAGCAGGAAACCACACAGACAUUACUUAGUCACAGCCAGGAGAAGGGCUCAGAGUGAAAGGGCUCUGUGCCCAUGACAUCCUUAGAGAGACCAGGGAAGGACCUGUAAGGCUUGAAGAAUGUGCAGAUUUGGAGACCCACAGGUCUGGGACCUGGCAGAAGCAUGUUACUGCCCCCAUUUUAGAGAUUUGGGGCUGAGAUUCAAGUACCCUAGGUUAUAUAAUGCAGUUGUCAAGUGACAGAGCUAAAACUUCAUCCAGGAUUCAAUUUUUUUUAAAGGAAGGAAGAAAGAAAAAACAUAUUUUGAUGUUUGCAUCACUUGUAUGUAGAAGGAACGAUGGAGCACAGGCUAGAACGUAGAGUUGCUUUCCAAACACCCAUGAUGACAAGUGCCCAUCUCCAAAGCCUGAGGGCCAAGGGUGAGCCACCUGACCCCUGAGGAAGGUUCUGUCCUGGUGUUUUAGGAAAUUAAAAUGUGCACAUCAGUUGGCUGCCCAGAGUGGGUGGGACCUGCACCUGCCAGAGAGGAAUGUGUGCUUUUUGGUUUAAUCCUGGGAACGGCAUAUGGGGCCCCUAUAACAAGGGGCAGAGAAGGCCUCCACAGAUUUGUUUUUCCAAUUCAAGAGGAGAGGUUAUUGUCUGCUGGCUUGUGUGUUGGAGACUGUGGGGCGUGCUUUCUCCACCACAGGGAGGCAGUGACCAGAGCUGCCACCUCUUCCCUGUUUUCACCUGUGGUCGUAGCCAGGUCAGGCAUCUAGGAGAGCAUGGAGGGGAGCUGGGGGUGGGUGGGUGGGGAUUCAGCUCUUUCCAGACACACUGGUGCUGCCUCUUUCAGGCCAGGGCUUGAGGGCAAGUGCUGUGCCCUAACAGGUCUUGCUUGUCACCCCCACCUCUGAAGUGGGUAUUUCACAGCCUGAACUCACAGCUGCAGAGAAGGUUGAGCCCAUGGUGUACUUGAAAGGGCAGUUCAUCUGGAUAUCCAGGCUCUGCAGGAGGUACCGGAGCAAUGCCAGGUGCCCUUUGCUGAACUGCCUAGAGUGGCUGGCCCUGGGGACAAAGAGCACAGCAUCCUGGUGACAAUGAAGUCACACUUUCCUAAGACAGUCCUGGUUUUUGAUGCUUUAAUUCUUUGGCUGCCUUUGCUUUGUCAAGGCCAGGAUCUGGGCCUAAAUUUUCAGGGCAGAACAAAACAAUUUUGUUUUCUAGGAAAGUGGGAGGUCUGGGAUGGCAAAGGCAGCCUCGGGCGUGGCGACUACCCCAGCUGGGGACGCUGGCUGCCAAGUCUCACCCUCUCAAGAGAACAGGAAUCAAACUCAGCACAGCAUCCUCCUUUCUAGUCAGUGGUCCUGCUCGAUAGGGGGAUUUGAAUUUUAUUUUUUUAAAAAUACAGGCACAGAAAAAAGACUAGAAGGAAACAGAUCCAAAUGUUAACUUUGUCUUUGGGUGAUUUUCAUUUCCUUCCUUAUUGUGUCUGUGUUUUCUAUUUUGCAUGAUACUUUUCCAAGUCAAGAAACAAUAAUUUGUGGAAGUCUCCUGUAUCUGUGCCUUGCUCUCUGGCCCACGACCUUGCACAUCUUAUCCUAGAGUUGCCAGAAUAUGUCCCUCCACCUGGCCUGGAGCUGCCCAUGAGGCUACAUAGAGCUCUCCUAUCAUGAAAGUCUUUGAGGCUUUCUGUUCCCAAGAAAUUCUGGUCUCACUUCCUCUGCCUUCUCAUCGAGCCCCAGACCCCUCCCUGCCCAGAUUAGGUCAGCAUUCAAGCCCCAAGUCCAGCCUAUGACAAAGCUCAAAGCUCCAGCCCAUCUCUGCUGCCCUCUGCCCUCAAGAGACUCUCGCCAGUGUCUGGGCCCUUCCUAGUAACUUCACCCAACCACUCACCCCCUGCCCUUCCCCUCCUGAUUGAUUAAAAUCCGGCCUAAUCUCCCAGGUGUAACCCAAGCCCUCUUCCACAAGCUUUCCAGGGCUCCGGAGAUUGCCCCCUCCCCUGUACGGCUGCAGGGCUUAUGUGUGCCUGGCGCUCAGCACGGGAACCUUGCCUUCUGCCUCACCCAUGUCUCCCCAGGGUUUGGCACAGGCGAGUUCCCUGAGCCAGCCUACUUCACAAGGAUGAACAGAAGCUCUCCCUAUCCUUUGCAAGUAGAAGCCCCCUCCCUGGCCCCCUCAAGAAAUCUCCCCCUCUCAGUGGAUUCACCAAAGCCCUGCGGAUCCUGCACUGUGAAGGAGAAGCCCUCCCCAGGGGCAUCCGGACAGCUGCAGCCAGGCCCUGCGUGACAUUGCUGAGCCGCAGCCCCACAGCCUGUGCCAGCUGCCCAUGCCCGGCUCAUAGACCCUGAGCCAGAGUGGCCCCGCCACCACCUGUGUCUCCACUCAGAGGCGAGAAGUAAGGGACAUGGAUGGAAAGUGUAAAAGCCAUUCCCACAACAGCUGCCAGGAACAAGGCGAGGAAUGGAGUGAAAAUGUAUAUUCACAGCUGGCACCCAGUUCCGCUUAGGAAAAUACCUUGCUUGAGUGGACACCUGUUGUUUUUGCCUGCCAGCAGCCAGGCCUGGCUUCUGGGAACAGCUUCUCAAAUCUUCCUUAGGGGGCUCUUCCUUUCCCACUCCUAGUGUGCAGUGUUUAGGUACCCUCUGGCCAUCCCCAAAGGGGUCCCUGUGGACCUUGCCUCAGCCAUCGGAGGUACAGCUGCAGGUCCAAGGAUGGCUUGUACCCCAGCUGAGGCCAAUAAGAACCUGGCCUUAGAUUCUGGCAGGAAUCCUGGAAGAGAUGACCUCGUUCUGCUGGGCUUCCUGAGCUGUUGAAUGCAAGCUGGUGGCCAUUUUGCCCCUUUUAGAAAGUAGCUGCCUAAGGAUACAGCCAUCCCAUGGGGCCAAUGGAUAGAGAGCAAGGGAAAGGGAGAACAAAAGAGGGAACGGGAAGGGAGAAGGGGAGUGCAAGAGGGGAGAGUGAGAGCAAGUGAGCAAGAUCAUCUCAGCUCUGGGGUCCAGCUGUGUCUGAAACAGCUGGGUCCAGCUGUGUGAGCCAAAAAAUGUCCCUUUUGUGCUUAAGCUUGUUUGAGUUGGGGUUCCAUCAUUUGUUACCAAGAGAGUCUUCAGGAAUGUGCAUGACAAAGUUGGGGGUGAGGUGUGAGCCUACGGACAUGGGCCUGGGGGCAGUCAAGGUUACAAAAUAGCUAAACUGGUCUGCACUGCCCCCACUAGUUUUCAGGGCAGAGGGCAGGGAGAAGGCUUGUGGGAAAGAAGCUGGCCUGAGGCCAAGGCCCUGGCCCUAGCCCUGCAACAGCACAGGGAACUCUUGGAAAGGGAUUUCCUAAGGUGGGACAUUGGCUUUCUACUGCUGUGAUGCAAGUCCUCAUCUCCCCAAACCUUCAGUGAGCCUCUCUCCACACCCUGCUGUAUGAGGAUGUUUGAUGCAAAUUAUGGAACAUGUUGGAUCUCACAUUGGAUCAAAGGUGUGCAGAAUAGAUUUGCCUCAAGCAUGACAGUGAUGUGACACAGUCAAAGAUGACUUCCGGAAUCCUGAGAAGUCCCAGGGAGGAUGCUGGGCUUUCCAAAACCUAAGUUUAGGAUACUGAGGACCACACCCCACACCCCAAACACUUCUCCUUAGAAUAAGUAUAGCAAGCCUCAGCAUACACAAAUCUCAGAGUGAACGGAAAUGUCUCUGCAGGCCCAAGGGUGGGGUCUGAGUAGCGGGGGCGCUGAGGAAGACAGGCAGUGACAGAGCCAGGACAGGGUCAACCCUGAGCGUGAGUGAGCCCAGGAAACGGAAAGAGAGCAACACAGCCACCCACACAACUAAAAUCGACCCACCCGGGUCUCCAUGCUGCAGGAAGUCACUGUCUAGGUCUCCCAAGACACAUUUUCAGGGGAAGGUUCCAGGCAGCAAGAGCAGCCCUAGGAAACUUUAAUAUACAAUGGAAUCUGGGUUAAGCACUAUCUUCUCCAAGAGUUGAGCUCACAGGACAUUCCCCAGAAACCUCUGGAGAGGUGGGGAGGAAAGUUUCUGGAGGUCUUUGGAUGGAGAAAACAAAAAAGUGGCCUUGAUUUUCAAGACAAAAUUACACAGGAAGAAAAAAAUGUUUUUAAUCUAAUUAAGAGCGAUCUUUUCACCUUCAUCACAACAUCGCGGAAAUGUGCCAGUUCUUAACUUCACACAAUAAUCAAAGCAAUUAGUGAGGGAGAAGCCUUGGAAACCGGUGCAGAUGUUCUCAGAAUGUUUAAUGGGGAAAUGAGUUGCAGGCCUCAUUCUCAGCAUCCGGCUCCAGGCCCUGGCUACCAAAUCCAGACAUCUGCUGGGGCCCCACCCCCAGGCCCCGAGGGCGCGGGCUUGAGAAACACAGGUCCCUUCCCAGGCCACCUCCCAGCCAGGCCAGAACUGGGGCCGAGAGGCUCCCCAUAGCUUCUCAAAUUGGAGCCUGGACACAGUCAGAGCCACCCCAGAACUGGGGGGAGGCUCAACAUCAAAAUUAUGUUAACAACUGAUGUCAAAAGUAAUCAACUCAGCUUGGCUCCCCCACUGCUGCUGGCUGCAGGAGGGCUGUGAGUAGGAGGAGAGCAAGCGGCCCCAGAGGGACCCUCGGCUAUGACCCCCUCAGCCUGAACACUACUUCAAGAAAAGAUGUGGUGGCAUCUGUCUGGUAUGGUCCUGUGGGCUCCAUUCCAAUGCUAAUGGACUCUUAAGGGGCCCAGGAAUCAAAAUGGUCAACACUUGAGGAAUUUCCAGUAAUCAGAGAAAACGUAUAGAAAUGAGGAUGAUGCUUACUUAGGAAAUGGCCUAUUACAGGAAACAGAGGGCCACGUGGCUAAUGUCAGUGAGCUGUGGGAGAGACAGAGACCCCAGGUGGGGCAGGCAGAUCAGCAAAUCUUGGAGGACCUGCUAUGUGGCAGGCACUGGAGACAUGGAGGUAAAGAACACAAUAUCCAUGUUCUCAGGGACACACUCAUAUGCCCUUAGCAUUCACGUUCUUCACACUGACAGCUUCUUAAUGCAAGCCCACCAGAUACUUUCAUAAGCACUACCUCUGACUUCAGGCACUUGCUGAGCUGCACACAGGGCAGGCCAAAAGGAAUGGAAAGUGAGCCACCACCGGGGCAGCACUCACUAGUGAAAGAUAAAUACCCCAGCUCUCUCAGCCGCUUGUAGAACUCUGAGGAGUGUUCUGUGCAGCUUCCCAGCUGCCCACCAUGAAGCUCUUUCUCAAUAAGUGACCAGCACAGCUUAAUUCCUGAAUUAAGCUGUGUGUGCUGUGAGACUGACACAAGACAGGGUGACAGGAAGCUGUCGGAACAUUUGAGUAGGGAAGCAGCAAGAUCCACUGUACAUUUAAAGAACUCCCUUGAGCUGUUAUGUGAAGAAUGGAGUACAGGAAGCAAGAGUGGAAAUCAAGAGACCAGUAAUGAGGUAUGGACAACAAUGUAGGCAGAGAAAUGGUGGUGGUUUUAACCAGGGAGAUAGCUGGAGAGACUAGGUGUGGGCAAAUCCAGAGAGUUGAUAAGACAUACUGAUAGAUUAGAAAGGGGUACUAAGAAAAAAGGAUAAUUUAAAAAAGACUUUCAGCCAGGCUUGGAGAAAAAUAGCAUGCUGCUCCUCAUCCCCUCUGACUAUAAAUCAUCUCACUCAUCCUCCCCUAAAAGCAUAAAAUCAGUAAGUGCAAAUAAAACCACAUGACCCAUGCUGUUAGCAGUAUUAGGAGAAAGAAUACCUUCAAAUUGCCUGUGGGUAGCAAAGUGAGCCAAAUUCCAAUAGCAUUCUAGUCCCCUGCCCAGCACUGCAAAACUGCAUACAGAAUCAGAGAAGAGGCUUAAAAUGCUUUGUCAAAAAGUUUGAAGGUAGUUAGCAACAUCAGCAAAAAUAGAGGAGUAAGUACCUCUAAGGAGCCUUCUUGCCUUCACAGACAUCCUAAGCACCAAGCAGCCUAAGCCACUGAUGAACUUGCAGAUACCACUGAUGUGGAUUAUAGUCUAAUUAAUUGUAGAGACACCACACUUCUGCACUGAACCAGAACCAAAGCCAAAGCACCCUACCCAAAUGAUACUACAGACGCGUGUACAGGAAAAGUCCUUACUAAGGCUACUCCAUAAAAUUGGAAGUCUCUGUUAUUCCAGAUAUGCAGAUAUCAACUUGGGGACACAAAAAACUUGGGGGGAAAAAAACAAGAAAACAUGACUUGCCAAAAGAACACAAUAAUUCUCCAAUAAUAGACUCCAAAGUAAAGGAAAUCUUAAGGAAACCCAAUGAGAUACAAGAGAACACAAAUAGACAAUACAAACAUAUCAGGAAAACAAUUCAUUAUCUAAAUGGGAAAUCCAGCAGAGUUAGAUAUGAAAAAGAACCAAACAAAAAUCCUGGAGGUGAUAAAUUAAAUGAAUGAAAUAAAAAAUACAAUUGAAAGCUUCAAAAGCCGGCUAAGUCAAGCAGAAGAAAUAAUUUCUAAAUUUGAAGACAGGUGUUUUGCAAUAAACCAGACAGAUUUAAAAAAUAACAAUAAAAAAGAAUGAAGAAUGCCUGCGUGACAUAUGAGACACUAUUAAGCUAACAAUAUUUCACAUUUUGGGAGUUCCAGAAGAAGUGUUGGGAUAAGGACCAGAAAAUCUAUUUAAGAAGAUAAUACCUGAAAACUGCCAAAGUUUGGGAGAGAAAGAGACUAACAGAUAAAGGAAGCUCACAAAUCCCUAAAUAGAUUCAACCCUAAAAGGGCCUCUCUGAGGCACAUUUUCAUCAAACUGUCAAAAAUCAAAGAGAGAAUUUAAAAAACAAGAGAGAAGCAUGAAGUCACAUAUAAGGGAAUCAACAGCAGAUUAACAGAUUUUUCAGCAGAAACCUUCUAGGCCAGGAAAGAAUUGAAUGCCAUAUUAAAAGUGCUGCAAGGUGGGGAAAAGCUCACAAAAUUGCUAGCCACAAAUACUAUACCCAGCAAAGCUAUCCUUCAGAAAUGAAGCAGAAUGAGGGAAGAAAUUUUGCCUCCCUCAGACAAGCAAAAACUGAGGGAAUUCAUUACUACUAAAUCAGCCCCACAAGAAAUGCUUAAGGGAGUACUACAUCUGGAAGUAGGAGGAUGAUAUCUACCAUCAUGAAACUACAAAAGCAUAAAACACUAGUAGAGCAGAUACACAAAUGAGAAAGGAAAAGGAAUAAAAGAUUAUCACUACAGAAAACCAAAAAAUUGCAAAGAAAAACAAUGAGAGGAAACAAAAGUAUACAAAUCAGUCAGAAAACAAUAAAAUGACAGGAGUAAGUCCUCACCUAUUGAUAACAAUCUUGAAUGUAGGUAAUUUAAAUUUCCCAAAUGAAAGAUAGAUACUGGCUAAAUGAAUUAAAAAAAUAAAACCCAAUUACAUGCUGCCUAUAAGAAACUGACUUCACCUGUAAAGACACCCAUAGACUGUAAGGGAAUGGAUAGAAAAAGAUAUUCCACACAAACAGACACCAAAAGCAUGCAGGAGUAGACAGACAAAAAAUACUGAGUCAAAAAAAAAAAAAAAAAAAAAAAGAAAAAGAAAAAAGAGACAAAGGAGGUCAUUAUAUAAUUAUAAAUGGAUCAAUUCAGCAAGAAGAUAUAACAAUUAUAUAUGCAACCAACAACACUGGAGUACCCAGGUAUAUUAAACAAAUAUUAUUAGUGCUAAAGAGAUAGACCCCAAUACAAUAAUAGUUAGGGAUGGCAACAUUUCAUACUCAGCAUUGGACAAUUCAUUUGGAUGGAAAAAUAUCAACAAGGAAAUAUUAGAUUUGAACUGCUGCUUCGUUAGCACACAGCACAUUCUCCAGGAUAUACCAUAUGUUAGGACACAAAACGGGUCUCAAUAAAUUUUUAAAAGUCAAAAUCUUAUCAAGUAUCUUCUCAGACCACAAUGGAAUAAAACUGGAAAUCAAUAACAAGAGGAACUUCUGAAAUUGAACAGAUACACGGAAAUCAAACUACAUGUUCCUGAAUGACCACUGUGUCUAUGAAGAAAUUGAUUUUAAAAAUUUAAAAAUUCUUUGAAACAAAUGAAAAUAGAAACACAGCAUACAAAAAUGUAUAGGGUACAACAAAAGAAGUGCUAUGAGGGACAUUUAUUUCAAUAAACACCCACAUCAAUAAGGUAGAAAGUUUUUAAACAAAUAACCUAAUAAACGCAUCUCAAGGAACUAGAAAAGCAAGAACAAAUCAAACCUAAAAUUAGAAGGAAAUAAAUAGUAAAGAUCAGAGCAGAUCUAAAUGAAAUAGAGAUAAAAGGUAAAAAAGACAAAAGAUCAAUGAAAUGAGGCCUCCCCCCCACCCCCCGAGACACGGUCUCACUCUGUCACCCAGGCUAGAGCGCAGUGGUGUGAUCUUGGCUCACUGUAACCUCUGCUUCCUGGGCUCAAGCAAUCCUCCUGCCUCAGCUUCUGAGUAGAUGUGCAGCACCACACCUCGCUAAUUUUUUUUUUUUUUUUUGGUAGAGAUGGGGGUUUGCCAUGUUGCUCAGGCUGGUCUCAAACUCCUGGACUCAAGCGAUCGGCCUGCCUUGGCCUUCCAAAGUACUGGGUUUACAGGUGUGAGCCAACAAACCCAGCCAAAAAACUGAUUUUUUGAAAAGAGAAAAUCAAUAAACCAUUAGCUAGACUAACCAAGAAGACCCAAUAAAUAAAAUCAGAAAUGAAAAAGGAGACUUACAAUGGACACCACAGAAAUACAAAAGAUUAUUAGAGACCAUUAUGAACAACUAUAUGUCAACAAUUAGAAAACCUAGAGGAAAGAGAUAAAUUCCUGGACAUAUAUAACCUCCCAAGAUUGAACCAGGAAGAAAAAAAAUCUGAACAGAGCAAUAACAAGGAAUGAGAUUGUAUCAGUAAUAAAGUCUCCCAGUAAAGAAAACCUCAGGAUUGCACGGGUUUUCUACUGAAUUCUACCAAACCUUUAAAGAACUAACAUGAAUUCUUCUCAGACAAUUCCAAAAGACUGAAGAGAAAGGAAUUCUCCCUAACUCAUUCUGUGAGGCAAGCAGUAUCUUGAUACCAAAACCAGAUAAGGACACAAUAACAGCAAAAAAGAAAACUACAGGCCAAUCUCCCUGAUGAACAUAGAUGCAGAAUCCUCAGAAACAAAACACACACACAGACACACAAACUAGCAAUCUGAAUCCAAUCGCACAUCAAAAAGAUAAUACACCAUAAUCAAGUGGGAUUUAUCCCAGGGAUUCAAGGAUGGUUCAACAUAUACAAAUCAAUAAAUGUGAUACAUCACAUUAACAGAAGGAAGGACAAAAAAAUACAUGAUCAUCUCAAUAGAUGCAGAAAAAGCAUCUGAUAAAAUUCAAAAUCUCUUCAUGAUAAAAAAAAAAGCUCAUCACAUAAUGUCUAGAAGGAACAUAACUCAAUGAAGGUCAUAUAUGACAAACCCACAGCCACCUGGGGAAAAGCUAAACACCUUCUCUCUUAGAACUAGAACAAGACAAGGAUGCCCACUUUCACUAUUCUUAUUCAGCAGAGUAAGAAAAGUCCUCACCAGAACAAUUAGGCAAGUAAAAGAAAAAGGGUAUCCAAAUUGGAAAAGAGAAUGUCAUAUUGUCCUUUGCAGAUGGCAUAAUCUUAUACAUAGAAAAACCUAAAGAUUCCACCAAAAUCUUUUAGAACUGGUAAAGGAAUUCAAUAAAGUUGCAGGAUAAAAAAAUCAACAAACAAAAAUUAGUAGGUGUGGACAUGAUGGCUCAUGCUUGUAAUUUCAGCACUUUGAAAGGAUGAGGCGGGUGGAUUGCUUGAGCCCAGGAGUUUGAGACUGUCCUGGGCAACAUGGCAAAACCUCAUCAGUACAAAAAUGAGCUGGGCGUGGUGGCCUGCACCUGAAGUUCAGCUACUCAGGAGGCUGAGAUGGGAGGAUCACUUGAACCUCGGAGGUGAAGGUUGCAGUGAGCAGAAAUUGCACCAUUGCACCCCAGCCUGGGCAACAGAGUGAGACCCUGUCUGCACUCCCCUGCCUCCCCCAAAAAAUCAGUAGCAUUUCUGUGAAACAGCAAAUUAGCCAAAAGAGAAAUGAAGAAAGCAAUCCCAUUUGCAAUAGCUACAAAAAAAAGCAAAGCUUAACCAAGGAGGUGAAAGAUUUCCACAAUGAAAACUAUAAAAUACUGAUAACAGUAAUUGAAGAGGCUACAAAAUUUUUUGAGACAUCCCAUGCUCAUGGAUUGAAAGAAAAAUGUUAAAAUGAUCAUAUUUACCUAUAGCAAUAUACAGAUGCUAUGAAAUCCCUAUCCAGAUAUCAGCAGGGGCUUCAAGAUGGCUGACUAGAGGCAUCUGGCACUCACCUCCUCCACAAAAUAUAGCAAGUAGGUAACCACAGUUUAUAUAGAUCGCCUCUGAGAGAAUGCUGGAAUUCAACUGAGAAGUAAUAAGAAAAACCCAAUGCAAGGGAUAAGAGGGGAGUCAGGCAGUCUGCUUCUAUGGGACUGGCUGGGAUCAUGAAGAGACUCCUCGAUGUGCAGAAAGGUAAGUAAGUGAGCCCCUAGUGGUCCACAUUCCCACAGCAGACUCCUGAAAUCCUAGUCAGAGAACCCCCUGACCCAUAGAUGCCUUGAGACUAACAAGAGGCUACCUACAGACUGUGAAAUGGCAAUGAACAGCUCCCAGAGAGGGAGAUCACCCUGAAUCCUCAGGCAAUUCACACAUCCCCUGAAUCCUCAGGCAACUUCAGGAAAGUCCCAUUUUGAUAGCCCAACCCCCACCAGACUGCAUCUGCUGUGGGCCCCACAUCCCUCUAUCUCAUCCCUGGAGCCCCAUGGACAUCCCUUACACAAAGCUGGUUGCCACUCCUGACUGCUCCCUCCAGGCCAAAGCAUGAGCCAUUGGCAAUACUCUGCUACCUCCGAAGCAAGGCUGCCAUGAGGAAAGGUGACCCUGCCCAUAGUCACCACCUGGGGCCGAAGCAUGCAUUGCCCAACUGCCUGUUUAUAGCUGCUGCCACUGAAAGCAAUCCCACUCAACUUCCCCAGGAGUAGGGCUGCAAUAGAGUUGCUGCUGCCCCAACAUGAGCAUUCAGCAGGGUAUACAGGGAUCUUCCUGUGCCUGCCUACCACAGUCAGUACAUUCUUGCAUUACUGGAGGGCCUCAGGACAGGCCCACCUGGCCUGGUCCCACCCUCUUUUCUCCCAGUGCCAGCGCAUACCAUCUCUGGGCCUAGGGAUCACCCUGCCCUAUCCAGUAUUGUUGGCACCUGAGCACUCCUGGGGGCUUGAGGACUGCCCUACCCAACUGACCAUUACCACCACAACUGGCAUUCACUUGAAUUUGCCACCUGUGGGCCUUGGGACAAGCUCAUCCAGCUUAUCCCAGCCAUCCCAAUACCAGCAUGGACACCUUGGGAGGCAGAAGAUUGUUCUGCCACUGCUACUGCCAUUGCCCAAGCCAUAUCUGCUGCUCAGAGCUCAAGGACCUACCCACCCUGUGGCCCAGCUCUGUCAUCAUUGGCACCUGAGCAAGUUGCCUGGAGGCCCAAAAUUGGUUUCCCUGGACUUGCUAACACUGGUACCAGCAUACACUACCAUUGGGCCCAAGGAUAAGCAUUCGGGGCCAGCCACUGCUGCCACUGGGGCCUGAGGACUGGCCCAGCUGGUGUCCCUAUCCCCAGCCAGACUUUACCACAGCCUCCACCAACAACUGCAUCCUAAACUACAGAGGAACUCCCAGACACUACUGGUGCUGUUUACAGCUGAAAAAAAUUCCAUGGAGAUCACACUACUGCAGGCACCCAGAAUCAAAACCAAAGUGCCCUGCCCAAAGAACACCAUAGAUAUAUCUUCAGGAACAAGACUCUCUUAGGAAAGACAGAUCAAAAAAUUGGAAGAAACUACUGUUACACCAGAUGUGCAGAUACCAGUGUAAGCACACAAGAAACAUGAAAAGGCAAAACAUGACAACUCCUAAGGAAUGCAAUAAUUCUCCAACAGAUUCCAGUGAAAAAGAAAUUGAUGAAACCUUGAAAAAUUCAAUAUAAUAUUAAAGAAGAUCUGAUAGACUAUACAAAGAAAUCAGAAAAAACAAUUCGGGGUAUGAAUGAGAAAUUUGCCCAAGAGAUAGAUAUAAAAAGAACCAAACAGAUAUUCUGGAAUUGAAUAAUAGAUUGAAUGAAAUAAAAAACAUAUUUGAAAGCUUCAAUAACAGACCACAACAAGCAGAAGAAAGAAUUUCACACCUUGAAGAUAAGUCUUUUGAAAUGACUCAGACAAAAAUAUAGAAAAAAUAGAAAAGAAUGAACAAAGGCUAUGUGACUAUAGGAUGCCAUAAGGUGACACCUUCAGUGUCCCAGAAGGUGAAGAGCAAACCAAAAGAUUAUAAAACCUAUUUAAUGAAAUAAUACCUGAACACUUCCCAAUCUCCCAAGAGAUUUAGAUCCAAAUAUAGGAAUCUCAGAACCCUAAAUAGAUACAAUUCAGAAAGGUCUUUUCCACAGCACAUUAUAGCAAAUUGCCCAUCCCAAGACAAAGAGAGAAUCAUAAAACCAGCGAUAAAAGAGGUUGUAGACACUUACAAGGGAACAACCUGCAGACUAACAGAUUUUUCAGCAGAAACUUUACAGGCCAGGAGGAUGGGAUUAUAUACGCAGAGUGCUGAAAGAAAAAACAAAACCAAAAACCUGCCAGCCAGGAAUACUGUACUUAGCAAAGUUAUAUUCGUCAGAAAUGAAGGAGAAAUAAAGUAUUUCCCUUAAAAGUAAAAGCUCAGGGAAUUAAUUGCCACUACACUGGCACUACAAAAAAUGCUUAAGGGAGUCUUACAGGAAGAAGUGAAAGGACAACUUCAUGAAAGCACACAAAAUAAUCAGAAAUCAAUUAAUGACAGGAAUAAGCCCUCACAUAUCAACAAUAACCUUGCAUAUAAAUAGAUUAAACUUUCUACUUAAAAGACAGACUGGCUGAAUGGACUUAAAAACAUGACCCAUCUAAAUGCUAUCUACAAGAAACGCAUCUCACCUGUAAAGACACAUAGUUGAAAGAAAGGAAUGGGAAAAGAUAUUACAUGCAAAAGGAAACAAAAACCAAACAGGAGUAGCUAUACUUUCAUCAGAUAAAACAAAGGUUAAGCUAAAAACACUAAAAAGAGACGAAGUCAUUAUAUAGUGACAGAGGGAUCAAUUGACCAAGAGGAUAUAACAAUUCUAAACAUAUAUGCACCCAACACCAAAGCACCCAGAUAUAUAAGGCAAACAUCAAAUCUGAAGGGAAAGGUAGACUUCAACACAAUAAUCUUGGGAACUUCAAUUCUCCAUUUCCAGUAUUAGACAGAUCAUCUAGACAAAAAAUUAACAAAGAAACAUUGGAUUUAAACUGCACUUUAUACCAAAUGGACCUAACAGACAUUUACAGACCAGUUCAUAAAACAGCUGCAGAAUAUACACUCUUCUCAUCAGUACAUGGAACACUCUCCAGGAUACAUUAUAUGUUAGGACACUAAGUAUGAUUUUAAAUAUAUAUAUAUUUUAAAUUGGAUUCAUAUCACAUAUCUUCUCAGACCACAAUAGCAUAAAACUAUAAAUAAAUAAGAGGAGCAUUCAAAACUGUAUAAAUAAAUGGAAAUUAACAUGUUCCUGAAUGACCAAUGGGUCAAAGAAGAAAUUAAGGCAGAAAUAAAAAAUUUACUGAAACAAGUGAAAAUAGAAGCACAACAUUCUGAAACUUAAGGGAUACUGCAAAAGCAAUGCUAAGAGGAAAGUUUAUUGUAAUAAAUGCCUCCAUUAAAAAAGGUAGAAAAGAUCUUAAAUAAUCUAAUGAUACACCUGAAGGAACCAGAAAAGCAAGAACAAACCAUACUAAACAUAAAAUUAGUAGAAGGAAAGAAAUAACGAAGAUCAGAGCAGAACUAAACAAGAAACUAAAUAAAUAUAAAGGAUCAAUGAAAUGCAAAAUCGGUUUUUGAAAAGAAACAAAAUAACCAGUGGCUAAACUAUCCAAGAAGAAAAGAGAGAAGACCUACAUGAAUAAAAUCAAAAAUGAAAAAGGGGAUAUUACAACUCAUACCAUGAAAUACAAAAAUCAAAACUCUUCAGUCUGAUCAAUAAAUUGAUUACAGUUACAGGAUUUAAAAAUCAGGCUUAUUUCUAUAUACCAAUAAAGAACCAGCUGAGAAAGAAAUCAAGAAGGCAUUAUCUUUUACAACCACUACAAAAAAUCUAGGAAUGAGUUUAACCAAAGAGGUGAGAAACCUCUAACAAGGAAAACUACAAAAGUCUGAUGAAAGAAAUUGAAAAGAACACACAAAAAACAUCCCAUUCUCAUGGAUUGGGAGAAUUAACAAAAUUAAAAUGACCAUACUACCCAAAGCAAUCUACAGAUUCAAUGCAGUCUCUCUCAAAAUACCAAUGCCAUUUUUCAUGGAAAUAGAAAAAAUCCUAAAAUUCAGAUGGAACCAAAAAAGAGCUGGAAUAGCCACAGCAAUUCUGAGCAAAAAUAACAAAGUUGGAUGCAUCACACUGCCUGAUUUAAAAAUAUAAGGCUAUAGCAUUAAAAGCAGCAUGGUAUUGGAAUAAAAACUGAUAGACCAAUGGAACAGAGUAGAACCUGGAAGUAAAUCCAUGUAUUUACAGCCAACUGAUUUUUGACAAAGAUGCCAAGAACAUACACUGGGAAAAGAGCACCCUCUUCACUUAAUGGAGCUGGGAAAAUAAGAUAUCCAUGUGAAAAAUGAAACCGUUUCUAUCUCUUGCUAUACUAAAAUCAACUCAAGAUGGGUUAAAGACUUAAACAUGAGGCAUGAAACUAUAACAUCACUAUUAAUGAAGGAGACAUUGGGGAAACACUUUAGGACAUUGGUCUAGGGAAAGAUUUUAUGGAUAAGACCUCAAAAACACAGACAAAAACAAAAAUAGACAAAUGGGACUAUAUUAAAUGAUAAAGCUUGUACACAACAAGGGAAACAAUCACCAGAGUGAAGAGACAGCCUGUUGAAUGGGAGAAAAUAUUUGCAAACUACUCAUCUGACAAGGUACUAAUACCAGAAUAUACUAGGAACUCCAAUAACUCAAUAGUAAACAACAAAUUAAUUCCAAUAAAAAGUGAGCAAAAGACAUGGAUAGAUAUUUCUCAAAAGAAAACAUACAAGUAGCCAACAGGUAUAUUUAAAAAAAAAAGCCCAACAUCAGUAAUUAUAAGGGAAAUGCAAGCCAAAACCAUAGUGAGAAUGGCUAUUUUAAAAAGACAAAAAUUAACCAAUGCUGGAGAGGAUGUGGAGGGAACUCUUAUACACUGUUGGUGGGAAUGUAAAUUAAUACUAUAGAAAACAGUUUGAUUUCUGAAAAACCUAAAAAGAGAAAUAUGACAUAAUCCAGCAAUCUCACUACUGGAUAUUUAUCUAAAGGAAAAGAUAUCAGUAUACUAAAAAUGUACCUGCAUCCCCGUGUUUAUUGCAGCACUAUUCACAACAGCAAAGAUAUGGACUCAGGAACCUAAGUGUACAUCAGUGGAUAAAUGGAAAAAGAAAAUGAGGUAAAUAUAUACAAUGGAAUACUAAUUGACCAAAGAAGAAUGAAAUCAUGUCCUUUGCAGCAACAUGAAUGGAGCUGGAGGUCAUUAUUUUAAGCCAGGCACAGAAAGAUAAUUAUCUUAUGUUAUUAUCAUAUGUGGGAGCUAUAAAAGUUGAUCUCAUGGAGGUAGAGAGUAGAAGGAUAGAUACCAAAGGCUGUGAAAGGUAUGUCUGGAGGGUGAAGAGAGGUUGGUUAGUGGGUAAAAAUACACAGCUAGUUAGAAUAAAUAAUUUAUAAUGUUUGAUAAGAGUUGGUUGACUAUAUUUAACAAUAUAAUGUAUAUUUCAAAAUAAAAAAGAGGACUUGAAAUGUUCCUAACUAUAGAGAUGAUAAAUUGAGGGUGAUGGAUACCCUGACUUGAUCAUUACACAUUCGAUGCAUGUAACAAUAGCACAUGUACCCCAUAAGUAUUAUGUAUCGGUCAAAAAAAAAAAAAAAAGGAAAUCCCAGUGCUUUGGGGGGCCAAGGCAGAAGGAUCGCUUGAGCCCAGGAAUUCAAGACCAGCCUGGGCAACAAUGCACGACCCUGUCUCUACAAAAAAUUAAGAAGUUAUCCAGGCAUGGUGGUGCAUGCCUGUAGUCCCAGCUACUUGAGGGGUCAAGGAUGGAGAAUGACUUGAGCCUGGGAGUUAAAGAUUGCAGUAAGUGGGGUGGUUCCAAGAUGGCCGAAUAGGAGGAGCUCCAGUCUAUAGCUCCCAGCGUGAGUGACGCAGAAGAUGGGUGAUUUCUGCAUUUCCAACUGAGGUAGUGGGUUCAUCUCACUGGGGCUCGUCAAGACAGUGGGUACAGGACAGUGGGUGCAGCCCACUGAGUGUGAGACGAAGUAGGGCGAGGCAUCGCCUCACCUGGGAAGCACAAGGGGUCAGGGAAUUCCCUUUCCUAGCCAACGGAAGGGGUGACAGACGGCACCUGGAAAACUGGAUCACUCCCACCCUAAUACUGUGCUUUUCCAAUGGUCUUAGCAAACGGCACACCAGGAGAUUAUAUCCCGCGCCUGGCUCGGAGGGUCCCACGCCCAUGGAGCCUCGCUCAUUGCUAGCACAGCAGUCUGAGAUCGAACUGCAAGGCGGCAGCGAGGCUGGGGGAGCCUGCCAUUGCUGAGGCUUGAGUAGGUAAACAAAGUGGCCAGGAAGCUCGAACUGGGUGGAGUCCACCACAGCUCAAGGAGGCCUGCCUGCCUCUGUAGACUCCACCUCUGGGGACAGAGCAUAGCCGAACAAAAGGCAGCAGAAACCUCUGCAGACUUAAAUGUCCCUGUCUCACAGCUUUGAAAAGAGUAGUGGUUCUCCCAGCACGGAGUUUGAGAUCUAAGAAUGGAUAGACUGCCUCCUCAAGUGGGUCCCUGACCCCCGAGUAGCCUAACUGGGAGGCACUCCCCAGUAGGGGCAGACUGACACCUCACACGGCUGGGUACUCCUCUGAGACGAAGCUUCCAGAGGAACAAUCAGGCAGCAACAUUUGGUGUUCAGCAGUAUUCGCUGUUCUGCAGCCUCUGCUGCUGAUACCCAGGCAAACAGGGUCUGGAGUGGACCUCCAGCAAACUCCAACAGACCUGCAGCUGAGGGUCCUGACUGUUAGAAGGAAAACUAACAAACAGAAAGGACAUCCACACCAAAACUCCAUCUAUACGUCACCAUCAUCAAAGACCAAAGGUAGAUAAAACCACAAAGAUGGGGAAAAAACAGCAGAAAAGCAGAAAAUUCUAAAACUCAGAGCACCUCUCCCCAUCCAAAGGAACGCAGCCACUCGCCAGCAAUGGAACAAAGCUGGACGGAGAAUGACUUUGACAAGUUGAGAGAGGAAGGCUUCAGACAAUCAAACUUCUCCGAGCUAAAGGAGGAAGUUCGAACCCAAAGCAAAGAAGCUAAAAACCUUGAAAAAAGAUUAGACGAAUGGCUAACUAGAAUAACCAGUGUAGAGAAGUCCUUAAAUGACAUGAUGGAGCAGAAAACCAUGGCACAAGAACUACGUGACAAAUGCACAAGCUUCAGUAGCCGAUUUGAUCAACUGGAAGAAAGGAUAUCGGUGAUUGAAGAUCAAAUGAAUGAAAUGAAGUGAGAAGAGAAGUUCAGAGAAAAAAGAGUAAAAACAAACGAACAAAGCCUCCAAGAAAUAUGGGACUAUGUGAAAAGACCAAAUCUACAUCUGACUGGUGUACAUGAAAAUGACAGGGAGAAUGGAACCAAGUUGGAAAACACUCUUCAGGAUAUUAUCCAGGAGAACUUCCCCAACCUAGCAAGGCAGGAUAUUAUCCAGGAGAACUUCCCCAACCUAGCAAGGCAGGCCAACAUUCAAAUUCAGGAAAUACAGAGAAUGCCACAAAGAUACUCCUCAAGAAGAGCAACUCCAAGACACAUAAUUGUCAGAUUCACCAAAGUUGAAAUGAAGGAAAAAAUGUUAAGGGCAGCCAGAGAGAAAGGUUGGGUUACCCACAAAGGGAAACCCAUCAGACUAACGGCGGAUCUCUCAGCAGAAACUCUACAAGCCAGAAGAGAGUGGGGGCCAAUAUUCAACAUUCUUAAAGAAAAGAAUUUUCAACCCAGAAUUUCAUAUCCAGCCAAACUAAGCUUCAUAAGUGAAGGAGAAAUAAAAUCCUUUAUAGACAAGCAAAUGCUGAGAGAUGUUAUAACCACCAGGCCUGCCCUACAAGAGCUCCUGAAGGAAGCACUAAACAUGGAAAGGAACAAUUGGUACCAGCCACUGCAAAAACAUGACAAAUUGUAAAGACCAUAGAUGCUAGGAAGAAACUGCAUCAACUAACGAGCAAAAUAACCAGCUAACAUCAUAAUGGAUCAAAUUCACACAUAACAAUAUUAACCUUAAAUGUAAAUAGGCUAAAGGCUCCAAUUAAAAGACACAGACUGGCAAAUUGGAUAAAGAGUCAAGACCCAUCAGUGUGCUGUAUUCAGGAGACCCAUCUCACGUGCAGAGACACACAUAGGCUCAAAAUAAAGGGAUGGAGGAAGAUCUACCAAGCAAAUGGAAAAUAAAAAAAGGCAGGGGUUGCAAUCCUAGUCUCUGAUAAAACAGACUUUAAACCAAUAAAGAUCAAAAGAGACAAGGUCAUUACAUAAUGGUAAAGGGAUCAAUUCAACAAGAAGAGCUAACUAUCUUAAAUAUAUAUGCACCCAAUACAGGAGCACCCAGAUUCAUAAAGCAAGUCCUUAGAGAUCUACAAAGAGACAGACUCCCACACAAUAAUAAUGGGAGACUUUAACACCCCACUGUUAACAUUAGACAAAUCAACAAGACCGGAAGUUAACAAGGAUAUCCAGGAAUUGAACUCAGCUCUGCACCAAGUGGACCUAAUAGACAUCUACAGAACAUUCCAACCCAAAUCAACAGAAUAUACAUUCUUCUCAGCAUCACAUCGCACUUAUUCCAAAAUUGACCACAUAAUUGGAAGUAAAGCACUCCUCAGCAAAUGUAAAAGAACAGAAACUAUAACAAACUGUCUCUCAGACCACAGUGCAAUCAAACUAGAACUCAGGAUUAAGAAACUCACUCAAAACCGCUCAACGACAUGGAAACUGAACCACCUGCUCCUGAAUGACUACUGGGUACAUAACGAAAUGAAGGCAGAGAAAUAAAGAUGUUCUUUGAAACCAAUGAGAACAAAGACACAACAUACCAGAAUCUCUGGGACACAUUUAAAGCAGUGUGUAGAGGGAAAUUUAUAGCACUAAAUGCCCACAAGAGAAAGCAGGAAAAAUCUAAAAUUGAUGCCCUAACAUCACAAUUAAAAGAACUAGAGAAGCAAGAGCAAACACAUUCAAAAGCUAGCAGAAGGCAAGAAAUAACUAAGAUCAGAGAAGAAUUGAAGGAGAUAGAGACACAAAAAACCCUUCAAAAAAUCAAUGAAUCCAGGAGGUGGUUUUUUUGAAAAGAUCAACAAAAUUGAUAGGCCUCUAGCAAGACUAAUAAAGAAGAGAGAAGAAUCAAAUAGAUGCAAUAAAAAAUGAUAAAGGGGAUAUCACCACCGAUCCCACAGAAAUACAAACUACCAUCAGAGAAUACUAUAAACACCUCUAUGCAAAUAAACUAGAAAAUCUAGAAGAAAUGGAUAAAUUCCUGGAGACAUACACCCUUCCAAGACUAAACCAGGAAGAAGUUGAAUCCCUGAAAAGACCAAUAACAGGCUCUGAAAUUUAGGCAAUAAUUAAUAGUCUACCAACCAAAAAAAGUCCAGGACCAGACGGAUUCACAGCCGAAUUCUACCAGAGGUACAAGGAGGAGCUGGUACUAUGCCUUCUGAAACUAUUCCAAACAAUAGAAAAAGAGGGAAUCCUCCCUAACUCAUUUUAUGAGGCCAGCAUCAUCCUGAUACCAAAGCCUGGCAGAGACACAACAAAAAAAGAGAAUUUUAGACCAAUAUCCCUGAUGAACAUUGAUGCAAAAAUCCUCAAUAAAAUACUGGCAAACCGAAUCCAGCAG